AUUGUUGUUAUUGGGAUGGUAUCAAGUGCGAUGCCAAAUCUGGGGAAGUGAUCGAGGUAGACCUCAGUUGCAGCUGUCUCUACGGCAAGUUUCGUUCCAAUUCCAGUCUGUUUAGGCUUCAUAACUUUCGUUUUCUCACCACUUUAGACCUUUUAAAUAAUGAUUUACAUGGUCAAAUCCCGUUCUCAAUUGGAAAUCUUUCUCUUCUCACUUCUCUCAACCUUUCUUUUAAUCGGUUUUUGGGUCAAAUUCCAUCUUCAAUUGGAAAUCUUUCACAGCUCACCUCUCUCAAACUUUCUUCCAAUCAGUUUUCGGGUCAGAUUCCAUCUUCAAUUGGAAAUCUUUCACUUCUUACCUCUCUUGAUCUUUCUUUCAAUCAGUUUUCGGGUCAGAUUCCAUCUUCAAUUGGAAAUCUAUCACUUCUUACCUCUCUCGACCUUUCUCUUAAUCAGUUUUCGGGUCAGAUUCCAUCUUCAAUUGGAAAUCUUUCACAGCUCACCUCUCUCAAUCUUUAUUCCAAUCAGUUUUCGGGUCAGAUUCCAUCUUCAAUUGGAAAUCUUCCACUUCUUACCUCUCUUGAUCUUUCUUCCAAUCAGUUUUCGGGUCAGAUUCCAUCUUCAAUUGGAAAUCUUUCACAGCUCACCUCUCUCUAUCUUUCUUCCAAUCAGUUUUCGGGUCAGAUUCCAUCUUCAAUUGGAAAUCUUUCAUUUCUUACCUCUCUUGAUCUUUCUUCCAAUCAGUUUUCGGGUCAGAUUCCAUCUUCAAUUAAAAAGCUCUCUCAUCUCAAAACUCUUUUCCUCCGUCGUAACAGACUCACUGGUGAAAUCCCAGAUUCUUUUGCCAGUUUGAAAAUUUUGACCAACUUAGAUGUUAGUUACAAUAAGCUUAGUGGUAACUUUCCAAUUUCCCUUCUAAAUUUGACAGAGUUGUCGUAUUUAUCACUCACUUCCAAUCAACUCACAGGAACGCUUCCCUCAAACAUUAGCUCACUCUCCAACUUGGUGAAUUUUUACGCAAGUGACAACGAUUUCGUUGGAACCAUUCCUUCUUCUCUCUUCACCAUUCCUUCUUUGACAAAAAUUUAUUUGUCAAAUAACCAACUCAACGGCACUCUUGAGUUUGGGAAUAUACCUUCACCAGCAAAGCUCGAGGAAUUAAUGCUUGGCGGUAACAACUUGAGAGGGCCAAUCCCGAGAUCCAUUUCCAAAUUAGUCAACCUCUAUUACCUUGACCUUUCCAAUUGGAACACCCAAUUAGGCCCAAUUGACUUGAGUAUCUUCUCGCAUCUCAAGUCACUCCGAAUUCUUGACUUAUCCCAUUUGAACACCACCACUACGAUUGACUUGAAUGCCAUCUUAUCAUGUUCUCAGUUGCUGGAAACAUUGGAUCUCUCAGGCAACCAUGUUUCAGCCGAAAACAAGAGCUCAGUUUCAGAUCCUCCUUCGCAAAUGAUACGAGAAUUAAACUUGUCAGGCUGCGGUAUUACCGAAUUUCCAGAGAUCAUAAGAACCCAGCAGUCAAUGAGGAGUCUAGACAUUGCCAACAACAAAAUCAAAGGUCAAGUGCCUGGCUGGUUAUGGACUCUACCAAAUCUGACGUACGUGAAUCUUUCCAACAACACUUUCGUCAGUUUCGAAAGACCAACGAAACAUGGACUAUCCUCUGCCGUGGAGUACUUGUCUGGCUCCAGAAACAAUUUCACAGGAAAGAUUCCCUCCUUCAUAUGCGCGUUGGGCUCUCUAAGCGUUCUCGAUUUAUCUGAAAACAACUUCAAUGGUUCAAUCCCUCUUUGUAUGGAGAAUCUCAAGAGUAAUCUUUCGGUUCUAAACCUCCGUCAGAAUCAUCUUAUCGGAGGCCUUCCGGAGAAUGUAUUUGAAAGUCUAAGGUCCCUUGACGUUGGUCAUAACCAACUGCUGGGAAAGCUUCCAAGAUCUUUGAUCCAUUUCUCUGCCCUUGAAGUUCUUAAUGUGGAAAGCAAUAGAAUCAACGACACGUUUCCGUUCUGGUUGAGUUCUGUACAAAACCUGCAAGUUCUUGUCUUACGCUCCAAUGCAUUCCAUGGACCGAUUCAUCGAGCCUCCUUCCUUCAGCUGAAAAUCAUCGACAUCUCGCAUAAUCAUUUUAACGGAGUUUUACCAUUAGAUUAUUUUGUGAACUGGAGUGGAAUGUCAUCACUUGGGACAAACGAAGAUCAAUCGAUUUACAUGGGAGAAGAUAGCUAUUACCACGAUUCAAUGGUUUUGAUGAAUAAAGGUGUAGAGAUGGAGCUGGUACGUAUCCUAAAAAUCCUCACAGCACUCGACUUCUCUGGAAACAGGCUUGAAGGUGAGAUUCCAAGCUCCAUUGGCCUACUGAAAGAGCUUCACGUGCUCAACUUGUCAAACAAUGCUUUCACUGGCCACAUACCAUCAUCUAUGGGGAACCUGACAGCUCUCGAGUCACUUGACGUUUCUCAAAACAAGCUUUCAGGAGUGAUCCCACAAGAGCUAGGGAAUCUCUCGUACCUUGCGUACAUGAACUUCUCCCACAACCAACUGGAGGCACUCAGUUUCGAACGCAGCCUUGCUCUUCCUUCGAACACAACUCUGGACUUUUUGGCCCUGCUCUUGACGAAGUUUGCAAAGAUAUCCACAAGCCAUCAUCGCAAGAGUAUAAAACACCAGAGGAGGCAGAGGAAGAAGACGAAGAAGUGUUUAGUUGGAUUGCAGCUGCAAUAGGAUUUGGACCUGGCAUUGUAUUUGGACUGACGAUUGGAUUCAUACUGGUUUUAUACAAACCGAGGUGGUUCACGAGUCCUUUUGGUCGAAACAAACGCAGAAGCAGAAGCACCACAACUCAUUAAGAGAGGUAAUGUUUUGAAUUUGAUAGAUUAAAGACUAUUGUAUAGUAUAAUGAAUUUUUCUGGGUUAAUGUAUACUGUAUGUGAAAAUUAACGCUGUUUUUGUUUGUAUAGCGUUCUUAAACCCAAGAUGAAGAAUCUUUGAAAAACAGAAUGAAGCAACCAGACCAUAGGUAGAGAAGAAGCUUGGGGGAGAAGGCAACUCAUUUUAUCAAAGUCUAAAUAUCAGUGAUUGUUUUUGGUUUAGUUUGGUGUGUUUAUCAUAUACUCUGUUUUUAGCCAAUGUUUGUGUUUCUCUGUAAUUGAACAAUGAAAGAUUGUUUACAAAGCUCAAACUUAUUCUUAUUUAUUAGAUAAACAUGAUUUGAGAGAGGUAAUAAUGUUCUUGCUCCGACUAAAUCAAUUAUUCUUCUGCCAAAUGAAGAACUAAGAUUCAACACACAUCUCAGAACAUUGAUCCUUAUUCUCUUUUGGUAAUAUUAAUUAGCUGAGUAAAAUGAUAACUUACUUAGCUUAUUGACAGAUAUUUCACUUAGCAGAUAGAUAUAUUAGUUAGCUGCGAUCAAGAUCACCGACCAGUUAAAGCUAUAGAUAUACAGGCUUAAAACCCAAGCUUUGCCAUCAGAAUGAGAGAAAAAAAAUCAUCUCACAAAUCAUUCCACUUUCCAACUACUGAAACUCUUCAAUAGUCAAAUGACUCAAAUCUGAAUAAGAGAGUAUACAUACACACAUACUUAAGUCCUAAAUCUUGUUUAUAAAUGUAACAAAAAUAACCCAUCAUUUUUAACCAAAAACAUUGAACGAAGAAAUUACCCUAUGUUUAUCUGAUAUGAUUGUGAUGUAUCUGCCAUCACCAAGUCCUAAAUCUUGUUUAAGGUGAUUAACGAACCAUCCCCAGUUGAUGUCGUUUUCGAUCUCCACUACUGCCCACGCUAUAGGAACAAUUCUAUUAUCUCCAUCCCUUCCAACUGCAGCUAUCAAUAGGCCUUUAACAUCCCAUUUAAGGAAUGCACCAUCUAGUCCUAUGAUAGGUCUGCAAUGUGUUUUCCAAGUGACUCGUUGUGCUUCAAAACAGACAUAAAUACGAUCAAACCUUUGCUUGCUUCCGGGUGUUGGCCCUGGAAUAGUCUGAAUAUCCAUAAUGGUUCCUUUAUUAGUCUUAUGAAUCUCUGCUUCGUAAUCCCAGAUUCGAGCAAAAUGUGUUCCAUGGCCUGCUCGUCUUUGCCUAGUAAUUUUGGUCUAAAUUACUAGGCUAGGUCAGUAUCUAAUUUGGCUAGGUCAAUAUAAGUUCGGGUGUUUUUUGGCUUAUUACAAAGUUUGUAUUUUUUUUUGGCAAAAUCAUAUAAGUUUGGUAUUUAGAUGACCGAUUUCCCUACACACAUACUUAAGGGUCACGAUGACAAAAUCUUCGGUUUAACCAAUAAGAGUAUUCAUCAAAAGACAUCUUAUAAACCAAUGGAUUAUAUUUUAAAAACUUGGUGAAAACAAACAAGAAAUUUAUCAAUAAAAUACAAGAACACUGGGUCAAUAACUGCUUAAUUCUUUUUUUUUUUUAAAAAAACAAAAGGUAAAUGAUGCAAUUGAUAGUAUAAUCUACACUACUCUAUACUCCACUGUUUUACUUUUUUUAUUUUAAGUACACAACUUUUUGUUAUUUUUUAUUCUUGGGAGAUGUAUAUCCUAUAAACAAAACUGUGUUAAAUGGAAGGACUUGAUAGACACCAAAACCAGAAGAGAAACGAAAACAAACGGCUCAAACUUGACAGUAUAAAAUAUCUACUGUUAAAACAUCAUCCAAAAUUUAUAAAUUAACGAUUGAGAAAUAUUUUGAUAAAAAAUAUAAUUCGAUAAUAUUGAUCAGAUUACAGCAUCACAAAGUCAGUGAACAAAUCAUAUAAAACAAACUUGAAUAAAGAAAAUUGUAUCAUGCCAAUUGCCAAAAGAAACCAAACAAAUAAAUAGAUAACAGAAAGUAGAAACAUUGACUGACCGAUUACUAAGUUCUGGACAAAAGACGAAGACUUGAAAAGUCAACUUCAGUCUUCUUCCUUAUUGUCCCACCAAUAAUUUUACUUUUUCUCCUUCAAUCUCAUCUUCUUCCUCAAUCCUCUGAACAUCGACCACAUGUUUCUUCAUCCAUUGACCUCAAAUACUUGAUUUUCACUAUCGACUCUCUUUCUUUCUCUCUCUCUCUAGAUUUUCCGUCAAAGCUAUGGAGAAACUCUGUCUUCGAAACUCUGUUUCUCUCAUGACGAUGGUGGUUAUUGUUCUUCUUCCUCGUUGCACUCUUUCUACUACUUCUACAUAUUCUCGUCCCGAGAAGUUGUACGUCAACUGUGGGUCGGAUUCUAAUGUCACUUACGGUAACCGGACUUUUGUCGGAGAUAUGAUCUCUGGUGGUAACUCCGUUUCAUUCACCAAGAAAGGAACUGAAGCCAUCAACCAAUCAGGAUCAGGAAUCUACGAAAUGGUUAGGAUAUUCACAAGCCCUUCUUCUUACAAGUUCCAACUCGAUUCCGUUGGUCUGCACUUCGUGCGUCUCCAUUUCUCUGCUGUCUCUUCUCGGACACAGCUUUUAGCUGCUCGUUUCACAAUCUCAGCUACUUCUCACUUGAAAAGUUUCUCGCUUCAGAAUUUCAAUGAGACCCCACGAGUUGAGGAGUUUCUCCUGAUGAUUGACUCGCCGGAAUUCGAAAUUCGAUUUGUGCCCGAUCAUUCAUCCAUGGCUUUCGUCAACGCCAUCGAAGUGUUCUCUGCUCCAGAUGACCUAGAAAUUCCGUCAGACUCCGACAAGAAUCUGCAUACGGUUUACAGAUUAAACGUAGGAGGCAAGAAGAUCACACCAGAAAACGACACCUUGGGAAGAACUUGGUCAUUAGACGAUGACUUCCUCUACGAAAAAGAUUCUGCGAGGAACAUUAACUCAACACAAAAGCCUAACUAUGAGUCAGGAACAGUGACGCAAUUCACUGCUCCUGAUUUCGUCUAUCAGACAGCUAAAACGAUGAACCAUAGCUCGAACGAGGGGGUGGUAGAGGGAAUGUUGAUGAACGUCACUUGGUCAUUUAAGGUCAAAAGCAGCUCAAGACACUUCAUCAGGGUUCACUUCUGUGAUAUCAAGAGUGAAUCACAAAAUCCCGACUCCGAUUUCUAUCUCUAUGUAAACGGACAAUCACGACUAGAUGUAAAGCCUUCAGAGCGUAUUAGGUUGGUGACUCCGUUUUUCAAAGAUGUGAAUGUCUCUGAUGGUUUUGGACUCUUGAAUGUUACAAUAGGUACUAAGGAUUCCACUAAGGAUGCUGGUUUUCUGAAUGGUCUGGAGGUGAUGGAGUUUUUGAAAAAGUCAGAUUCUUCAGAUAAAAGUAGUUUCCGGGUUUACAUCAUUGCUGGCUGUGUUGUUGCUGCAUCGGUUCUGGUAUUGAGUUUGUUGUUCACAGUUUUCUUGAAGCGGAGGAGAUUGAAGAAGGAAAAGAAGUUAGACGCUGAGGUCACUGAAUGGUCUCCUUUGCCAUUGUACAGAGGUGGUGGGAGUUCCGACAAUAGACCUUCUGAUCCGGUCAACAAUUCUCCAUUACGCAGCAAUAGAACUUUUGAUCCGGUCAACAAUUCGCCAUUACGCAACCUAAACUUAGGCUUGACCAUUCCCUUCAUAGACAUUAUGAGAGCUACAAACAAUUUCGACGAGCAGUGGUUGAUCGGGAGAGGCGGUUUCGGAGACGUUUACAAAGCCAUUCUUCAAGAUGGAAGCAAAGCGGCUAUCAAGAGAGGCAAGAGUGGUUCAGGACAAGGAAUAUUGGAGUUUCAAACAGAGAUUCAAGUCCUGUCGAGAAUCCGGCACAGGCACCUCGUUUCUCUAACGGGUUACUGCGAAGAGAACUCGGAAAUGAUCCUUGUCUACGAGUUUAUGGAGAAAGGUACGCUUAAGGAGCAUCUAUAUGGCUCGGAUUUGCCUUCACUGACAUGGAAACAGAGACUAGAGAUCUGCAUCGGAGCAGCCAGAGGUUUGCAUUAUCUCCACAGUGGCUCAGAAGGAGCAAUCAUUCACAGAGAUGUCAAAUCCACAAACAUACUACUAGACGAGAACACCGUAGCCAAAGUUGCCGAUUUCGGGCUCUCAAAACUCGCGGUUCGUAAUCAAGAUCCGAUUAAUAUCAGCACUAACAUCAAAGGAACAUUCGGUUACCUCGAUCCUGAGUAUCUGCAGACACACAUCUUGACGGAGAAAUCAGAUGUUUACGCUUUUGGAGUCGUUCUCCUCGAGGUCUUGUGCGCGAGAUCGGCUCUCGAUCCUUCUCUUCCUCACGAGGAAGUGAAUCUAGCCGAGUGGGCGAUGUUCUGCAAAUCCAAAGGGAUAAUCGAUGAGAUCUUAGAUCCGAAAUUGAUAGGUCAGAUCGAGCCGAGUUCGUUGAGGAAAUACAUGGAAAUCGCGGAGAAGUGUUUGAAAGAGUACGGAGACGAGAGGCCGAGCAUGGGGGAUGUGAUCUGGGAUCUGGAGUAUGUUCUUCAGCUUCAGAUGAUGCCGAUUCGCAGAGAGCCUCAUGAGGAUAGCGCCGCGACGAUCUCCGGCGGCGGAGGCGAAAGCUCGUUGGUGAUUCCGAGGUUGAUGGUGAGUGAUUCGUUUAGCUCAAACUCGAUUGUUCAGAAGAACGAAGGGAAGAGCAGCUAUGGAGGUACAGAUUCAUCGGAGAGUCGAGUUUUCUCCCAAUUGAAGAUCUCCGAAGCAAGAUAAAACGUUCUGAUUUGAAAAGCGUCUGGUUUAAAGCUUUUGAUAUUAAAAACCGGUUAUUGCCGGUUUAAAUUUAUUCAUUUAAAACAGAUGCAAAGUAAACUAGUCAAGGGACUGUAAUAUAAAAAUUAAAACUCGGUUAUCUUCGGUUUAAAGUUAAUUAUUCUAAGACAGAUGCAAAUUUCCGAAUCGAAAAUACAAAUCAAUUUGAUUAACCGAUAAAAACCUAAUUUCAAGAAAAAUUCUGAUUUGAUAAGUCUGGUGUAGUGUAAUUUUUGAGAUUGAAACCCGCCAGUUUAAAGAUAAUUAUUAAGUAACGAGUCAGUUGACUGAAUAUGAAAUAUAAACCCGGUUAUCUUCGGUUAAAAACUAACUAUUCUACGACAAAUGCAAAUAUCUUUACGAAAAACAAGUCAAUUUAAUUAACCGAUAAAACCUAAUUUCAAGAAAAGUUCUGAUUUGAUAAGUGACUGGUUUAGUUUUUGAAAUUAAAACCCGGUUACUGCCGGUUUAACGAGUCAACUGAUUGUGAUGUCGGCGAUGAACGAAUCCAGAUUCCGAGCCGAUGAUCCACCAGGCGCCAACGCCGAUCUCGCCGCGUACUUCAGCUCCGUCGCUCUCCUCCUCAUAUCCGCGGCGGCGGAUCCUUCCGUCACGGCCUCAAUACAUCUCUCCACCUCUUCAACCUUAAGCUCUCCGUCAACGGUGUCGUUCCUCAUCCUCACUCCGAUCCCGAACACAUCCACAAGCAAUCUCGUGUCAAGCGGCUGAUCAAUCCAGCUCGGAUACGCCACCACCGGAACACCAGUCACCACCGUCUCGACCGUCGAGUUCCAGCCGCAGUGCAUGACGAAACAAGAUAUCGCCACGUGGCUCAGUAUCCUCUCUUGUGGACCCCACUCAAUCACAAUACCUUGACCUUCUUUAACCAUCUCCUGCAAAACGUCGACGUUUUCGCCUUUCUCCUUUGGCCUAAUCACCCAGAGAAACGAAACUCCUCUGUUUCUCAGAGCCGUUGCUAUGCUCUUAACUUGAGUCUCCGAAGAUUUCAGCAAACUUCCAAAAGAAAUGUAAACAACCGAAGUAAGCCACUCCAUACUAUACUCAUCCGAUUUCCACAUAUCAAGAUUUUUACCAUCUAGGGUUUUGUCUUCUUCAUCAGCUCCCAACAGAAAUGGAGAAACCAGAGGACCAAUUGGGAUCAUGGGUUUUAAACCAGACAUCGAUUCGAUUAUCUCUGAUUCGAGCUCGUAGAACGAAUUAACCAAAACCCAUUUCACAUCUUUCAAGCAAUCGACGAACUCCACCAUUAGGCUAUUGAAAUGACUUCCUGAAGAAGGCAACAGAAACGAAGGGAGAUCUCCGACUUCCAGCAAUGGUAAACCUGGCAAUUCAACCGUUUGAUUCAAAUCUUCGAGAUUCUCGGGGAAAGCGUUCGUCUUCAUGUAGUAACGGUAAUAAACGGAGAAAGCUCCACAAGCUUCGAUCCAGAGGAUUGCACAGGGGAUGUUAUAUGCAGCUGCAACACCUGGANNNNNNNNNNNNNNNNNNNNNNNNNNNNNNNNNNNNNNNNNNNNNNNNNNNNNNNNNNNNNNNNNNNNNNNNNNNNNNNNNNNNNNNNNNNNNNNNNNNNNNNNNNNNNNNNNNNNNNNNNNNNNNNNNNNNNNNNNNNNNNNNNNNNNNNNNNNNNNNNNNNNNNNNNNNNNNNNNNNNNNNNNNNNNNNNNNNNNNNNNNNNNNNNNNNNNNNCAGUGACGAUGCAAGAGAAUCUCUUUGAUUCGACGAUUUUAGACAAGUUCUUGGCUCCUACUUUUCUCAACGAUGGUAUGAGAGAAUCCGCACCUCCUGUGUGGUCUUUAGGCAGACCGUCGGAGAAGAAAGCAAGGUCCACUAGGCUAUGGUGAUGUUCUUUGUCUGCGGUGGUGGCUGCGGUGGAGAGGAGGUCACGGGUUUUCUCGGUGGUGGCGAGAGUGAAUCGGAGGUUCGGUCUUGAGAGAUGUUUGGCGAAUUUGAGCAUUGGAUUAAGAUGAUCUUGAAAUGGUAGUGCUACCAAUAGAACAUGUGUUUCUUGACCCUCACUAUUUCUCAUUUCUGCUUUGUUUAGAGGUGUUACUUAUUAGACUUGAGUUGUGUAUGAGAUUGUGUGUAACUUGUAAUUGUGGUGGUAUAUAUAACAAUGGUUGCUUAACGAUAGAUUUUUGCUUAAAAUGAAGUUAUUAAGUGAGAUUUUGGUAAGAAAAAUCUAUAUAUAGUAAAAAUUGGUAACCCAAUAAAAUGUUGUUGAAUAGAUUCAAAAGUUACCACGUUUAUUAGCACUCUGCGCCUUGUCCUUAACUCAAUUCAAAUCUUGUAUAAUUGUUGACAAAAAAAACACGAUAUAUAUACCAAUUCUAGUAUGGUUAAAGUCAACAGUCAUUACUAAUGAUUUAUGAAUCUUUUUGUAUAGUGUGACACUGAGAUCAUUGUAAUUUGUUAAUGACAAUCUAUAAACUGUAAUUGGUAAUCCAAUAAACGUUGGUCAAUAAAUUCAAAUUUAAUCAUGUGUUUCUAUGCUCUUGUAAAUAAAUAAAUAUAUGUUAUUUUCAAUUGUGUUAUGGUUAUGAUUAGAUUUAUAUAAAAAAUAUGGUUAUGAUUAGAUUUAUAUAAAAAAAAAAACAGGUCUCAAUUCAUUCGGAUCAGUCUCGUUUGUAUUUGUCUCACUUUUAGAUUUGAAAUCCGUUAAGCUCUAUUUAGUUUUUGGAACUAACAGAGUAAUCGGUUUAUACACGCCAAAAUUCUUUUAAUCUAUUUAAAACCAUUUACGAUAUGAUGCUUAAACAUUCUUAAUAUUUAUUUUAAAUUAUAUAAACUAAGCUUUUGGAAGCUAAUCAGAAGUUAACACACCAAUAUAAUUACCAUUGUUUUUUUAUUAAAUAAUAAUUACCAAUGUUUCAAGGCAUGCUUGAAUAUUCCACUAAGAAAAAUCAUCGAAAUUGUUUAUACUAAUCUAAAAUCCUAGCAAAGGUGGGUGAAUCUUUUUUUUUAAAAUAGUUAUACAUAUUUUCGAGAUGACAAAAUUUAACAAUAUGAUAAAAUCAUAUGGACACUCGAACAUUUAUGUAGAUUUAGUUAUGUUAUAUAUCCAAGAAGAAAUGAAUAAUAUUAAGUAACAUCUAUUACAAAUAACAUAUCAAUUGGUAACAUCAGAUGGCAAAUCAAAUAACAUCAUUACGUAGUAAAUUCAUAUGCAUGCGUUACUAGCUAAGCUUGUAUUCACUUUAUAAAAGAAAAUACAAAAUAGCAAUAGCAAUAAUGAAGGGAAGAGCAGCUACGGAGGUACAGAUUCAUUGAUCGAAGAGUCGAGUUUUCUCCCAAUUGAAGAUCUCUGAAGCAAGAAAACAAAUAAUCUCUUGAAUCCUUCUGAUUUAAAUACCGACUGGUUUUAACUUUUGAUAAUAAAAUCCGGUUAUUGCCGGUUUAAAUAUAAACAUUUUUUUAAGUCGACAAAAAAAAACAUUUCAAAACAGAUGUAAAGUGAGUCAACACUAUGAUCGAUGACUUUCUAGUUGAUGAGAAACGUGCACAAAAAGAAAAGGGUAACACUAUGAUCGAUCACUUGCUUUCUCUCCAAGAAACUCAACCAAAUUAUUAUACGGAUGUCAUCGUCAAAGGACUCAUAGUUGUAAGUAUUGAGGAAUACAUUUAAUACAUCACUAACAACUAACAAGGCUAACUAAGCUUUUUAUAAUGACUAAUUCUUGACUUCUAUUUGGAUAGGUUAUGAUAUUUGCUGGAAAUGUAACAUAAACAAGAACGUUAGAAUGGGCGAUGCUAAAUCUGUUGAACCAUCCAGAAGUACUAAAGAAAGCGAGGAUUGAAAUCGAUACAAACAUUGGUUUGGACAGGUUAAUAGAUGAACAGGAUGCGAAAAGUCUUCCUUACCUCCAAUGCAUCAUAUCAGAGAUUUUUCGACUUUACCCGGCAGCUCCUUUACUUGCUCCUCAUAGGGCUACAGAUGAUUGUAUAGUUGGAGGCUACGACUUCCCUCUUGGCACGACAUUAAUCGUGAACGUAUGGGCCGGCCAUUCACCGAGACCCAAACAUAUGGUAAGAGCCAGAAAAGUUCAAGUUAGAGCGGUUCGAGAAGAAAGGAGAAGAACAAAAGUUGAUGCCGUUUGGAAUGGGACGACGAGCUUGUCCCGGGUCUGGUCUAGCUCAACGGGUCGUGAGUUUGGCUCUCGGAUCGAUGAUUCAAUGUUUUGAAUGGGAGAGACUUGGAGAAGAAUAUGUUGACCUAAGUGAAGCAACCACAAUGCGUCCAACGACGCCGUUGCUAGCCAUGUGUAGAGCUCGUCCUAUUGUUCAUAAGAUUUUCAAUGCUUCUUUUUGAGAUGUCACUCCCUUUUUAAAAAAAUAUGUAUAUCCAUUUAUGUUAUAUCCAUUUUGAGAUGUAAUUAAAAUGAAAGACAAAGACUAGUCUUUGAUUUACCUUUAGAUUUUCGAUUUUAUUAAAAUUCAAAAACUAUUUUUUUUUUCAAAAACCAAAAUUUAGAAGUUAAAGGCUACUCCAUUAUCAAAUAAACUCACUUCUAAAUUUCUAAAAUUAUGAAUGAGGAGUAGUUUUUUUUUACUUUGAGAAAGGGUGAAGAAAUUUUUCCAAUUUAUUAGUUUUUUUUUUGUUGAGGAAGGGUUAAGAAAAGGGAGCUUGUUUUAUAAUAGAAUCUCUCAUGCAAUUAUUCCACCUGUCACUAGAGAUAUGUUCAUAACUUCGUAACGUCUCAUGCAAUUACUGACUAAUAAACAUGUGUAAUAAGUCUCCAUUAAUAUUGAUAGUCUAUUUAUUUUGCUUUUAAUUAAUAGGGUUUUGAGUAGAAAUUUGUUUCUUUCUAAUAUUAUAGACAAUAUAUAUUGCUAGCGUUUACGUUUUUGGUUUAAACCAUAGUGAUUAAAAAUAAACAAAUCAUAAAUUAUUAUUAAGGGUGACCUACACAUAUUUAUUAGUCAUUAAUGAAUGAGACGUUACGAACAUAUUUUUAGUUUAUUAAAAAAAAAAGAUAUCUUUAGUGACAGGUGUGAUAAUUGCAUGAGAGUUUUCAUUAUAAACUAAGCUACAUAAACUAAUAACUUCCAUGUUCGAUUCAACACAUUUACAACAAGAAGAAGUUCUUAAUCUAAAAUGGAAACUUACUUUCUAAUUUUAUCCCUUGCCAUCUUCUUUUUCAUUUCUCUAAAACCUUUGUUUGGUAAACGGCACAGCAAGUUUAACCUACCACCAAGUCCGGCAAGGCCACUACCGUUGAUUGGACACCUUCACCUCCUGAAGCAGCCUCUCCACCGCACAUUCCUAUCCUUCUCUCAAUCUCUCGACAGUGCCCCAAUUUUCUCCCUCCGCCUCGGAAACCGUCUCGCCGUUGUCGUCUCCUCCUACUCCAUCGCCGAAGAAUGCUUCACAGAAAACGACAUCGUUUUGGCCAACCGGCCAGAGUCCAUAGUCGGGAAAUACAUUGAGUACAACUUCACCACUGUGACCAGUGCGCCUUAUGGUGACCACUGGCGAAACUUGCGGCGUCUCAGUACCCUCGAGAUCUUCUCCUCGCACAAGCUCAAUGGCUUUUUAUCUGUCCGUAAGGACGAGAUCCGACACUUGCUACUUCGUCUCUCCAAAAACUCCCAGCAUGUAUGUGAGCUUGUACAUAACUUGAAGAUUGUACUCUAUAAACAUUAUCAGAGUUUGUAACCUAGUAGUGUGUCUUAGUGUGGCCACUAGGUCAUAACCUGAGUCCGUGCAACACAAGUUUGAGAAUUGAUAAUUUGUUUAUUUGAUUAUAAAUUAGGGGUUUGCGAAGGUGGAGAUGAGAUCAUUGUUUAUGGAUUUGACUAUCAAUAACAUUCUCAGAAUGAUGGCUGGGAAAAGAUUUUAUGGUGAUGGAACAGAGCAAGUGAGACAGCUUAUUGACGAGGUGGUAUCCUACGCCGGCGCCGGGAAUGCUACCGAUUAUAUCCCAAUCUUGCGUUGGAUCACAAGUUUUGAGAAACGGGUUCAAGAACUUAGCCGGGUAGGGUCGAAUGAGUUCUAGCAGAGCCCUGUGGAUUGAAAAAACGUGCGGAUAAAGAAAAGGGCGACACUAAUGAUGGAUCACUUGCUUUCUCUCCAAGAAAUCCAACCUAAUUAUUACACAGAUAUCACUCUAAAGGGGAUUAUAGUUGUAAGUAUUUAUUUUCUACAUUUAUUAAUCUUGAAUAAUCUAUUUAAUAUAUAACAACAUAAACUAAACAUCUGUUAAUUUAAUUUUUACAGGUUAUGAUACUUGCCGGAACUGAAACACUAAUAGGAACAUUAGAAUGGGCUAUGUUGAAUUUGUUGAAUCAUCCAGAGGUAUUAACGAAAGCAAGAACCGAAAUCGAUACCAAAAUCGGUUUUGACCGGUUAAUAGAUGAACAAGAUAUUAAAAAUCUUCCUUAUCUCCAAGGGAUUGUGUUGGAGACCUUACGUCUUCACCCUGUAGCUCCUACACUUGUUCCACAUAUGACGUCAGAUGAUUGCAUUUUAGCUGGAUACGACGUUCUUUGUGGGUCGAUGUUAUUGGUGAACGUAUGGGCCAUGCAUAGAGACCCGUAUAUAUGGGAAGAUCCAGAAAUGUUCAAGCCAGAGAGGUUCGAAAAUGAAAAGGAAAAUCAAAAGGUGUUGUCGUUUGGGAUUGGACGACGAUCAUGUCCCGGGGUUGGAUUAACUCAUCGGUUAGUGAGCUUGGCUCUCGGAUCGAUGGUUCAAUGUUUCAAAUGGGAGAGAAUUGGAGAAGAAUAUAUUGACACUAGAGAGGCACCUAUGAUGCGUCCAGCUACACCGUUACAAGCCAUGUGUAAAACUCGUCCCAUUGUCCAUAAGAUUCUCGAUGCUUUUGCUUGAAUUGUAACUCUUCUUGGUUUGAUUUAUGUUCGGAAAUAUUACAUCAACUUGUUUUGAGUUGGGAAAUAAUUCAAAAUCCUUCUAAGAACGCUUUCAUGCAAACUGUUGAAUGUAUCUUCAAGGUUCUGAUCACCACCUAGCUAAGUCUUUGCGGAAGAUCCUCACUAAAUAUUAUCAUUUUGCCUUCGAAUACAUUGAUGUUGUUGCCCUGAUACAGUUGAAAAAAAAAACAACUAUAGAGACACUCAAAUAAAAAAAAAGUUCAUAGCUUUAAAAUUUGAGAAAAUUUGAAAAAAAUACCUUAUCAUGAGUUUUUAAUUUGAAAAAUACACCAAUUUUUUUUUUUUUGAAAUCUACACUUAUUGAUAAGUAAAAUAACAAAAUUAACCAUAAUUUGAAAUUGAAGUAAUUUUUUAUUUAGAUUGUAAUAUAUUUUAAACAUAUAUAUAUGUAUAUAUAUUUAGAUAUUCUGCACAAAGAAUAUCUAGUUAGUUUCUAUUUUAUUUAACUUUAAUUACCAAACAAUAUUUUAAUUAAAAAAACGUUUUAACUCAAUUCAACGAGACUUCAGAUUCUGUAAAACACAGAUCACACUCAUUUGCACUCACGCCGUCAAAAUCACUAUUCACAAAUUGGUAGAUUUUUUUUCUUUCGUUCUUGAUUUAUAUUUGUCGUAGUAUUAUACUUCUUCUCUUUUUAUUCUCAAAAUGGUUUGUUUUGUUUUUUAUUUAUACAGAAAAAUGGUGCAUAUCGCUGGAGUUUUUGGUGAAUGGCAAGUGAAAAAAGAAUCAUGGAAAUUCAUCGUGAAUACUAAAAAAAGAGGUAAAUUAUUCACGAUUAGGGAUGAUUUGAAGUUUGCUGAUAUGGUUUGAAGUUUGCUGAGAUGGCCGAGUCUAUAAAUGUUGUGUUCAAAAAGCCUCGUGAGCUACCCAUUGUCUCAUUGAUUGAGGUAAUAAAGAAUACACUAACACGGUGGUUUUUUUAUCGUCGAGAAAGUGCUGCGAAACUUACUUCUUCUCUCACACCUAAAGUUGAAAACAAGCUCAAUAAACGGUGUGAUUUGUCUGAUACUUUCGAUGCGCAGCCCAUAAAUCAAUAUGAGUUUCAGGUAACCGAUGGCUCCCAAAAUUUUUUGGUUGAUCUACAACGGAUGACUUGUACAUGUCAAGUGUUUAGUAUUGAUAAGAUCCCCUGUAAGCAUGCUGCUAAAGCUGCAAAAAGUCGAGGCAUAGACCCUGGGUUAUAUGUACAUCCGUACUACUCAAAGUCAUACUUGUGUGCUGCAUAUUCAGAGAGCAUAAGACCUGUAGGUGAUAUUUCAGAAUUGAGCGAAAUACCUGCUGAUAUUGUUGGUCAGAUAUGCUUACCUCCAGAUGUCCGAAGGAAACCAGAAAGACCCGUAAAAAGAAGAUAUCAAAGUGUUGGAGAACAAGCAAUGAGGAAAAAAGCACGCAAACAAUGUUGUUCAAGAUGUCAUCGUUCAGGACACAAUCGUGCGAGAUGUGACUUUGGAAUUUGAUUUUUAUUUUUUAUUUGGUUUGAAACUCUGUUUUUCAUUUCGUAAACUUUUUUCACUCUUCCUUGAAUUGGGAUUUUACAUAUUCUGGUUUUAUAUUAUUUGUAUGCAGACUCUCUCUUUCAAUUUCUCUUAUAUCACCAGUUUGCUAAUGCGUCCUUUUUUUCUUGGUCUUUUCCAAAUCAGUAAUACUAGUAAGUGCAUUACCGUUCUUGAAAUCAAUGAGAAAAUUGAAGAUCUUGAACAAAAUCAAGUUUAAACCUUAUUGCUUUUUUGAAGAUUCAUUGGUUCGCUCCAAUCCUCGAAAUGCAUUUGAUCGCUCAAAGUAUGUUGCCUCAAUGAGACAGACUCAACUUGGUAAUUUGAUCGUUGCUUUUUUUUCAUUCUGAAAACGAUAGUCUGCAUUGAUUAAUGUUGCAUGAGUCUAGUUGUGUGACUUAGGUUGUGGUGCUUGACGAGAGAGGCCGUGACAUUAACUCAGAGCAGAUGGCUGAUUUACUAGGCGAUGCAGGAAAUAGUGUAAGCUUAUACCUUCUCUUUGUUCUUACAUCACCCAUAUCUGUUUUCAGGGAGCUUCAAGGAUAUCGUUUUGUAUAGGUGGACCUUAUGGACAUGGAAGAUAAGUGAGGAAGCGAGCUAAUGUGACCAUUAGACUUUCCUCCAUGGUUCUGAAUCAUCAGAUAGCUCUUGUGGUCUUGAUGGAACAGCUUUACAGGUGAAACCAUUGUUGCUUCCGUCUGUGUGUGCGUCCCAGUUACACUUAAUUUCAAGUUUUUAUAGCCUCGCCGGUUGUGCGUUCAUAUGAUGUGAUGGGGUUUUCUGUUUUCAGGUCAUGGACUAUUCUCAAGGGACAAAAUUACCAUCAUUCAGGAUGUAUGAAUCUCUAUUUUUGGUGUUCUUCUUUUGCUUUCUUGUGCUUAAAGAAACUGGAUUGCUAAAAAGACUUUCUGCUUAUAAUGUAUCAGAAAUUGUUUAUUGAACGUGAAAACGUUUGUAAUCCAAAGUUUAUUGCUUCUGAUCUUGGCUUAGAUUUGAGUCAUCCGAGUGCAAUAUCUGAUUUUGUAUGUUGCAUAUUGUUCUCAUCAUAUAGAGAUUGAAUGAAUGUAGAAGCGAUUGUGGCUGUUCAACAAAUGAUCCUCUCUCCACAUAUCUCCAUAUAAAGGGAAGGAGAUAGGAGACGCUUUAUGAACGUAGAUCAUCUUCCCUUCUUUGAAUCUAGAUUCUUCUCUUGUGUUUGAUUUCCGUUUUGAAGAGUGAAGAGUAAAACGCAAUGUUUUCAGAUUCUAUUUUCAAUACAGUGUUUAUUAGACUUUUUUCUGAUAAUCAAAAGUAAUAACACUCUGUGCAUUAUUCCAUUCUCAUGGAGAUGUGAAACUGCAAAGACAAUUUCUGCAGUCUACACACGAGCCAAGUCCUCUCUAUGAAAAACAAAACAUAGAACUAGUCAGUCCUAUAAUAGUUGCAAAAAGGAAUUAAACUAAACCUGAAAAGCCCUUGGUGAGAGAGCUUGAAGAAUUAAAUGCCCUCCGUUUAUGAAGUCCAUCACAAGAUACAGACUAUACUUAGUCUGCAGAAAAAGAAAAGAAAAACAGGUUCGUAUAGUGCUAUGAUAGCUCAAGAAAACAGAGAAAAUGGAUAAAGUUUGAUUUUGCAAGAUUAGCAAACGAGAUUUGCUCCAGUCUCUUCGCUCUGCUUGUGAUGCUGCUGGUUCUCUUCUUGUUUUCGAUAAGGUACAUAGAAGGAACAGAGAAGCUGAGUCUAGCAAAGGUUUGAGCAAAUUUGAAGUGAGAAUCAAAGAGCUUGAGAUUAAUGCCAAGGGACGAGAAGUUUAAUUAUUGACCUUCGGGGAAGAGUUUCAUUAGCGUUUUAGAAACAAAGAUUUUCUUUUAUAAAGUCUUGUGAAGUCUGCAAGAUUUUCUUUUAUGAGAUUUAUGAGUAAAGCAAAAAAGUAUCUAAAGAAAAGAGUAAUGUAAAGAUCACAAUGUGAUUCAUCUAUUAGAUUUCUAAAAAAAAAAUAUAACUAAAUAGGAAAACCAAGUGAGAAGCAAUCCAACGAAAAACCAAACAAUAAGAAUCAAUGAAUCAAUUAUAAGAAAAGAACUUCCAAAUAAAAGAAAACUAAGAAAAGAAGAAUACGUUCUUAAAACUCAAAACCCAAAAAAUACAUCUAAAGAUUCUGAAAAUGGUUGGCUUCUCCGAACAUAUCCGUUGCAAACUUUUGCCGGAUAUCACUGAUGUUUUCAUCUGACAGUCCAACAUUCAUAUCUAUGUCUAAGGCAAGACACUCGAUAUACUUCAUAGCAUAUACUCCACAAUCACCCGUUUGAGUGUUCUGUGGAAUUCUUCUACAUCUUGAUACUGUGUACUCAUCAGUACUUAAUCCGUAUUGGUCAGCUGGUGAAGCCAAUGAUUUGAGAAGAUAUGGAAGCAUAUGUGCAUAUGGCCUCACCAACUCUGUUAUCUCAUCAUCGCUAGUUAGCGAAAUGAUACUGUCGUACACUUCAAUAUGCUGGUGAGGAAUUGAGAUAGCCAAAGCAAUCCAAUGAACACUUUUAAUGUUUAGCACAAGGUAGACAUCAUCGACAUCAACGCCAAGUCUCUUAUUUGUACUUUCACACCUUGGUAAAACACCUUUAUAGUAAUCAAUUAACUCACCGCUCCAGUCAAAGUUUCUCUGGUUUUGUGAGAACUUUGGGUAGACUUUUGAUAUCACUUUUCUUCAUUGUUUUUUUGUUCGGAUAUGUGUGAUCUAAUUCUGUCUUUCUUUUUCCAUCAAUUUCUUUCUGAAACUUGUACUCCAUCUCUAACAAAACCUAUGAAAAAGAAGAAAAGAAUUCAAAUAUGUGGUAAUUUUUAAUAACCAAAUCAUUCAUUGCAACUAAAAAACAAAAUAAAUAUAGGAAAGCAUCACAAAUCGAGAUACCGUAUUGCUGUGUUGUUCUUCUGCUCCCUUCUCUGUUUUUUUUUUCUUAGAAAAAGAAAGACGUCAACGACUUGUUUAUAUAACAAAUUGAAAAAAAAAAAAUUUUUAUCGAGAUAAAGUUGAAAUUUUUUUAAAGAUUUAUCCAAUUAAUUAAUGUGAUUAAUGAGAUAUCUUUAUCUCAAAUAAAAAUUCAAUCAUAAUAAUUAUUAUUUCGAGUUUUUCUUUUUAUUUAAAUAGAUAGUGUUAGUUAAAUUUUGGUCAAAACGACUUUAAACAUAAAUCAAAAGUGUAGUUUUUAAAAGAAAAAAAAAUGGUGUAUUUUACUAAUUCAGAAACUUAAAUAGUGUAUUUUGCUAAUUAUCCCUUAAAAUUUCUUGUAUAUUUUGAAAUUAACUAAAAGUAAACUAUAUUGCUUAUACUGAUAUUUCCGUUUCUUCACAGUAUGAUCUAUUGAUUUUUGCAACCCUCUAUAUUUGUAUUGUUGCACAGCUACUUAUAUUUCCCUUUCAUUACAAUGUGAUAUAAUAUUUCUUGUAAGUUUUGCAAUCCACUACAUAUCAUUUUUCCCAGAGUCAACUUAUCUUCGUGUUUGUAUAUUGAGUAUUACAUUUGUACUUUUACAAUUCUUUUUUUUUUUAUAAUCUUGAAGUGCUCUAGGAAUUAUAAUUAUUAUAUCAUGUUGGAUUUUUAAGAAUUUUGGUUUUUAUGAUAUUUUGUAAAAAAUUAGAGAGUGAUGUGUUUCUAGGGACAAAAGACGAAGACUUGAAAAAUCAACCCUGGUGUUUUUCCUUCUUGUCCCAUUAAAAAUCUCAGUUUUCUCUUCAAUCUUAUCAACUUCCUCAGAAUCCUCUUCACAUCGACCACAGGUUUCUUCAUCCAUCGACUUAUUGAAAUUUCUUGUAGUAUAAGUUAAACCAAAAUGUGUGGAAACUAUUCAACACAAAAGACUUUUCACUCUCUUCUUUCAACGUGAAUAACACUUCGUACGAAGGACUAAAUGGUGAGCCAAGCGAAGCUGAGUGGAAAUGGAGCACUGACUAUAUGUAUAUAAAGAGAUGGCAUGAAACCAAUUUAACCAUCACAAUUUCCAUUUGCUCGCUUCUUUUUCGCUAUUGAUUUUCAAGAAAGUUAAAAAUUAGCUUAAAGAAAAAACGAAAGGCUCUUGAAACUCAAUGAGUAUCAUUCAUAUUUCUCUUUCUUUUCUCCUCUUGUUCGUUUUUUAUUUUCAUGACGUGUUUGCGUCUCCUACUAGACACUUGUGUCGUCCGGAGCAAAGGGAUGCACUUCUCGAGUUCAAGAAUGAGUUUGAGAUUCGGAAGCCUUCUUUUCGGUGUUAUGUUAAUGGUCGCUGGGUAAACCCGUACCCGAAGACGGAGUCAUGGGCAAAUAAUACUGAUUGUUGUUAUUGGGAUGGUAUCAAGUGCGAUGCCAAAUCCGGGGAAGUGAUCGAGCUAGACCUCAGAUGCAGCUCUCUCUACGGCAAGUUUCGUUCCAAUACCAGUCUGUUUAGGCUUCGUAACUUUCGUUUUCUCACCACUCUAAACCUUUCACGGAAUGAGUUACAUGGUCAAAUCCCGUUUUCAAUUGGAAAUCUUUCUCUUCUUACUUCUCUCGACCUUUCUUCCAAUGGGUUUUCGGGUCAGAUUCCAUCUUCAAUUGGAAAUCUUUCUCUUCUUACUUCUCUCGACCUUUCUGAAAACGGGUUUUCGGGUCAGAUUCCAUCUUCAAUUGGAAAUCUUUCACUUCUUACCUCUCUUGAUCUUUCUUUCAAUCAGUUUUCGGGUCAGAUUCCAUCUUCAAUUGGAAAUCUAUCACUUCUUACCUCUCUCGACCUUUCUCUUAAUCAGUUUUCGGGUCAGAUUCCAUCUUCAAUUGGAAAUCUUUCCCUCUAUCUUAACAGACUCUCUGGUGAAAUCCCAGAUUCUUUUGCCAGUUUGAAAAAUUUGACGAGGUUAGAUGUUAGUUUCAAUAAGCUUAGUGGUAAUUUUCCAAUUUGGCUACUAAAUUUGACAGAGUUGUCGGAUUUAUCACUCGAUUCCAAUCAACUCACAGGAACGCUUCCCUCAAACAUUAGCUCACUCUCCAACUUGGUGAAUUUUUACGCAAGUGACAACGAUUUCGUUGGAACCAUUCCUUCUUCUCUCUUCACCAUUCCUUCUUUGAGAAUAAUUUAUUUGUCAGAUAACCAACUCAACGGCACUCUCGAGUUUGGGAAUAUAUCUUCACCAACAAAGCUAGUCGUGUUAAUGCUUGGCGGUAACAACUUGAGAGGGCCAAUCCCGAGAUCCAUUUCCAAAUUAGUCAACCUCUAUUACCUUGACCUUUCCAAUUGGAACACCCAAUUAGGCCCAAUUGACUUGAGUAUCUUCUCGCAUCUCAAGUCACUCCGAAUUCUUGACUUAUCCCAUUUGAACACCACCACUACGAUUGACUUGAAUGCCAUCUUAUCAUGUUCUCAGUUGCUGGAAACAUUGGAUCUCUCAGGCAACCAUGUUUCAGCCGAAAACAAGAGCUCAGUUUCAGAUCCUCCUUCGCAAAUGAUACGAGAAUUAAACUUGUCAGGCUGCGGUAUUACCGAAUUUCCAGAGAUCAUAAGAACCCAGCAGUCAAUGAGGAGUCUAGACAUUGCCAACAACAAAAUCAAAGGUCAAGUGCCUGGCUGGUUAUGGACUCUACCAAAUCUGACGUACGUGAAUCUUUCCAACAACACUUUCGUCAGUUUCGAAAGACCAACGAAACAUGGACUAUCCUCUGCCGUGGAGUACUUGUCUGGCUCCAGAAACAAUUUCACAGGAAAGAUUCCCUCCUUCAUAUGCGCGUUGGGCUCUCUAAGCGUUCUCGAUUUAUCUGAAAACAACUUCAAUGGUUCAAUCCCUCUUUGUAUGGAGAAUCUCAAGAGUAAUCUUUCGGUUCUAAACCUCCGUCAGAAUCAUCUUAUCGGAGGCCUUCCGGAGAAUGUAUUUGAAAGUCUAAGGUCCCUUGACGUUGGUCAUAACCAACUGGUGGGAAAGCUUCCAAGAUCUUUGAUCCAUUUCUCUGCCCUUGAAGUUCUUAAUGUGGAAAGAAACAGAUUCAACGACACCUUUCCGUUUUGGUUGAGUUCUCUACCAAAGCUACAAAUUCUUGUCUUACGCUCCAAUGCAUUCCAUGGACGGAUACAUCGAGCCUCCUUCCUUCAGUUAAAAAUCAUGGACAUCUCGCAUAAUUACUUCAACGGAGUUUUGCCAUCGGAUUACUUUGUGAACUGGAGUAAAUUGUCAUCACUUGGGACAGAAAAAGAUCGGUCGGAUGUAAACUACAUGGGAGAAGGUACCUAUUACGAAGAUUCAAUGGUUUUGAUGAAUAAAGGUGUAGCAUUAGAGCUGGUACGUAUCCUGAAAAUCUUCACAGCACUCGACUUCUCCGGAAAUAGAUUUGAAGGAGAAAUUCCAAGGUCCAUCGGCCUAUUGAGAGAGCUUCAUGUGCUCAACUUGUCAAACAAUGCUUUCACUGGCCACAUUCCAUCAUCUAUGGGUAACCUGACAGCUCUCGAGUCACUAGACGUUUCUCAAAACAAGCUUUCAGGAGCGAUCCCACAAGAGCUAGGGAAUCUCUCGUACCUUUCUUCCAUGAACUUUUCCCAUAACCAGCUUGUCGGUCUUGUACCUGGAGGCACUCAGUUCCGAACGCAGUCUUGCUCUUCCUUCGAAGACAACCCUGGACUUUUUGGCCCUUCUCUUGACGAAGUUUGCAAAGAUAUACACAAGACAUCAUCGCAAGAGAAUGAAACACCGGAGGAGGCAGAGGAAGAAGACGAAGAGGUGUUUAGUUGGAUUGCAGCUGCAAUAGGAUUUGGACCUGGCAUUGUAUUAGGAUUGACGAUUGGAUACAUAUUGGCCUUCUACAAACCGAGGUGGUUCACGAGUCCUUUUGGCCGAAACAAACACAGAAGCAGAAGCACCACAGCUCAUUAAGAGAGGUAAUCUUCUGAAUUUCAUAGAUUAAAGACUAUUGUAUAGUAUAAUGAAAUUUUCUGGGUUAAUGUAUAUUGUAUGUGAAAAUUAACGCUGUUUUUGUUUGUAUAGCGUUCUUAAACCCAAGAUGAAGAAUCUUUGAAAAACAGAAUGAAGCAACCAGACCAUAGGUAGAGAAGAAGCUUGGGGGAGAAGGCAACUCAUUUUAUCAAAGUCUAAAUAUCAGUGAUUGUUUUUGGUUUAGUUUGGUGUGUUUAUCAUAUACUCUGUUUUUAGCCAAUGUUUGUGUUUCUCUGUAAUUGAACAAUGAAAGAUUGUUUACAAAGCUCAAACUUAUUCUUAUUUAUUAGAUAAACAUGAUUUGAGAGAGGUAAUAAUGUUCUUGCUCCGACUAAAUCAAUUAUUCUUCUGCCAAAUGAAGAACUAAGAUUCAACACACAUCUCAGAACAUUGAUCCUUAUUCUCUUUUGGUAAUAUUAAUUAGCUGAGUAAAAUGAUAACUUACUUAGCUUAUUGACAGAUAUUUCACUUAGCAGAUAGAUAUAUUAGUUAGCUGCGAUCAAGAUCACCGACCAGUUAAAGCUAUAGAUAUACAGGCUUAAAACCCAAGCUUUGCCAUCAGAAUGAGAGAAAAAAAAUCAUCUCACAAAUCAUUCCACUUUCCAACUACUGAAACUCUUCAAUAGUCAAAUGACUCAAAUCUGAAUAAGAGAGUAUACAUACACACAUACUUAAGUCCUAAAUCUUGUUUAUAAAUGUAACAAAAAUAACCCAUCAUUUUUAACCAAAAACAUUGAACGAAGAAAUUACCCUAUGUUUAUCUGAUAUGAUUGUGAUGUAUCUGCCAUCACCAAGUCCUAAAUCUUGUUUAAGGUGAUUAACGAACCAUCCCCAGUUGAUGUCGUUUUCGAUCUCCACUACUGCCCACGCUAUAGGAACAAUUCUAUUAUCUCCAUCCCUUCCAACUGCAGCUAUCAAUAGGCCUUUAACAUCCCAUUUAAGGAAUGCACCAUCUAGUCCUAUGAUAGGUCUGCAAUGUGUUUUCCAAGUGACUCGUUGUGCUUCAAAACAGACAUAAAUACGAUCAAACCUUUGCUUGCUUCCGGGUGUUGGCCCUGGAAUAGUCUGAAUAUCCAUAAUGGUUCCUUUAUUAGUCUUAUGAAUCUCUGCUUCGUAAUCCCAGAUUCGAGCAAAAUGUGUUCCAUGGCCUGCUCGUCUUUGCCUAGUAAUUUUGGUCUAAAUUACUAGGCUAGGUCAGUAUCUAAUUUGGCUAGGUCAAUAUAAGUUCGGGUGUUUUUUGGCUUAUUACAAAGUUUGUAUUUUUUUUUGGCAAAAUCAUAUAAGUUUGGUAUUUAGAUGACCGAUUUCCCUACACACAUACUUAAGGGUCACGAUGACAAAAUCUUCGGUUUAACCAAUAAGAGUAUUCAUCAAAAGACAUCUUAUAAACCAAUGGAUUAUAUUUUAAAAACUUGGUGAAAACAAACAAGAAAUUUAUCAAUAAAAUACAAGAACACUGGGUCAAUAACUGCUUAAUUCUUUUUUUUUUUUAAAAAAACAAAAGGUAAAUGAUGCAAUUGAUAGUAUAAUCUACACUACUCUAUACUCCACUGUUUUACUUUUUUUAUUUUAAGUACACAACUUUUUGUUAUUUUUUAUUCUUGGGAGAUGUAUAUCCUAUAAACAAAACUGUGUUAAAUGGAAGGACUUGAUAGACACCAAAACCAGAAGAGAAACGAAAACAAACGGCUCAAACUUGACAGUAUAAAAUAUCUACUGUUAAAACAUCAUCCAAAAUUUAUAAAUUAACGAUUGAGAAAUAUUUUGAUAAAAAAUAUAAUUCGAUAAUAUUGAUCAGAUUACAGCAUCACAAAGUCAGUGAACAAAUCAUAUAAAACAAACUUGAAUAAAGAAAAUUGUAUCAUGCCAAUUGCCAAAAGAAACCAAACAAAUAAAUAGAUAACAGAAAGUAGAAACAUUGACUGACCGAUUACUAAGUUCUGGACAAAAGACGAAGACUUGAAAAGUCAACUUCAGUCUUCUUCCUUAUUGUCCCACCAAUAAUUUUACUUUUUCUCCUUCAAUCUCAUCUUCUUCCUCAAUCCUCUGAACAUCGACCACAUGUUUCUUCAUCCAUUGACCUCAAAUACUUGAUUUUCACUAUCGACUCUCUUUCUUUCUCUCUCUCUCUAGAUUUUCCGUCAAAGCUAUGGAGAAACUCUGUCUUCGAAACUCUGUUUCUCUCAUGACGAUGGUGGUUAUUGUUCUUCUUCCUCGUUGCACUCUUUCUACUACUUCUACAUAUUCUCGUCCCGAGAAGUUGUACGUCAACUGUGGGUCGGAUUCUAAUGUCACUUACGGUAACCGGACUUUUGUCGGAGAUAUGAUCUCUGGUGGUAACUCCGUUUCAUUCACCAAGAAAGGAACUGAAGCCAUCAACCAAUCAGGAUCAGGAAUCUACGAAAUGGUUAGGAUAUUCACAAGCCCUUCUUCUUACAAGUUCCAACUCGAUUCCGUUGGUCUGCACUUCGUGCGUCUCCAUUUCUCUGCUGUCUCUUCUCGGACACAGCUUUUAGCUGCUCGUUUCACAAUCUCAGCUACUUCUCACUUGAAAAGUUUCUCGCUUCAGAAUUUCAAUGAGACCCCACGAGUUGAGGAGUUUCUCCUGAUGAUUGACUCGCCGGAAUUCGAAAUUCGAUUUGUGCCCGAUCAUUCAUCCAUGGCUUUCGUCAACGCCAUCGAAGUGUUCUCUGCUCCAGAUGACCUAGAAAUUCCGUCAGACUCCGACAAGAAUCUGCAUACGGUUUACAGAUUAAACGUAGGAGGCAAGAAGAUCACACCAGAAAACGACACCUUGGGAAGAACUUGGUCAUUAGACGAUGACUUCCUCUACGAAAAAGAUUCUGCGAGGAACAUUAACUCAACACAAAAGCCUAACUAUGAGUCAGGAACAGUGACGCAAUUCACUGCUCCUGAUUUCGUCUAUCAGACAGCUAAAACGAUGAACCAUAGCUCGAACGAGGGGGUGGUAGAGGGAAUGUUGAUGAACGUCACUUGGUCAUUUAAGGUCAAAAGCAGCUCAAGACACUUCAUCAGGGUUCACUUCUGUGAUAUCAAGAGUGAAUCACAAAAUCCCGACUCCGAUUUCUAUCUCUAUGUAAACGGACAAUCACGACUAGAUGUAAAGCCUUCAGAGCGUNNNNNNNNNNNNNNNNNNNNNNNNNNNNNNNNNNNNNNNNNNNNNNNNNNNNNNNNNNNNNNNNNNNNNNNNNNNNNNNNNNNNNNNNNNNNNNNNNNNNAUAUAAAUCAUAAAUAUUAUUUAUUUAAAAUUCUACUUGAAAAGCCUUUAAAUAAAGUAACUUAAACUUGUAUAAGUAGUAUAUUUUAUAUAUAUAAAAAAUAAAUUUGUAACUAAAAAAGUGAUAAUAGAGAUUUUAAUAUUAUGGUGGUUUAUUUUUGUUGUUAAUGGAGAUUUUUUAUUUUUAACCAUAAUAUUAGGAUUUGGAAACUUUUUUGAAUUUUUAAAUGUUGAUAUGGAUGCCUUAAAAAUAAUAUGGCUAAACUGUUAUUAAUAAUAGAAUAGUUUAAAUUACAAAUUUUCCUAUAUUGUUUUGUAUUACCAAUGUAAUUUUAUAAUUUAAAAACUUUUUAAAUUUUAAUUAUUGAUGUAGACUAAAAACAUUGACCUUUUACAUGUUAUGUGGAUGUCUUUGGAAGCAUAUAGCUUCAGCUUUUAUUUUUCUAUAAAUAUUUUUUUUGUUAACAAUACAGUUUUAAAAUUUGAAAAUUUUCUAAAUUUUAGAUAUUGAUAUAAACCAAUAGAAUUGAAAUUUUAAAUCCUAUGUGGACACUCUUAGAGGUAUAUAGCUUCAGGUUUUAUUUGUAAUAUAUUUAGAUAUUAACACUGGAAGAUCCCACACGAGGCCCAUUGCGGUAAGUGAUUUUGGUUUCUCCUCUAUGUUUUGAGGCUUACGGAAUGUAUUCUGAUACUGUUUGAUUCAGCUAAUUGUUACCUUUGUGGUUCAGGUUGGAUUGCUAAACCCUUGUCAGACACCAUGUUAUUCCAAAGAUUUUCCUCGGAUACCUCAGUCUCUUCGCCUUAAUGCAGAACUUCUUUCUCUAUUUCUAGUGGUUCGUUUUUCAAAAAUUUUGGGUAUCAAUCACUUGACAUGUUUCUCGGAUUACUUGAAAUUUAUCAUUCUUCUCAAAUCUGGUGGCAAAACUUUAGAGAUUUUACAGUCUCUUUUUCAAUAUUAAAACAGCUUGUAGUGUCUUUGUUUUCAUCAUAAUCAUUUUAAUUUAGCUAAUAGUUAAACAUAUAGUUUAGUCAAGUUGGUUCUUAAUUUUACAUUGUAAUGAUUCAUUCUUUAGUGAAACCUAUCUCUAUUUUUUUGCUUUUUUAAUUGAAAUGGUUGUACAUACAUAAAAAAAACUUAAAAUUUAUUAUAGUUAUGUGAAAAAAAUUUGGAUGCUAAUGUAGGAGUAUGUAAAUAAAUUUAAAUAUUUUAUUUGUUCUUAAUUAUUUAUAUAAUUGAAACAUCUAACUUAAAUUUAAAUUUUCCUAUUUUAAAAUAUUUAUUUUAUUUUUAUUAUUAUUAAUAUAAAUUAUAUAUAUAAUUUAUUCAUCUUUAAUAAAAUUUUAAAACAAUAAUAGAAUUUAGAAACUUUUUUUAUUUUUAAUGUUGAGGUGGACCAAUAAAAAAUUUAUACAAAAUUUCUUUAUUAAACAAUAAUAUUAGAAUUUGUAAACUUUCUUAAUUUUUUUAUUUAACACUAAUAUUAAAAUUUGGAAAUUUUCUUAAUUUUGAAUGAUGAUGUGGACCAAUAAAAUUCUUAAUUUCCUUAUUUAAUAAUAAUAUUAAAAUUUGUAAAUUUUCCUAAUUUUGAAUGAUAAUGUGGGCCAAUAAAAUUGUAUUUUUUAAUCCUAUGUGAACGCCUUGAAAAGCUUAUAGCUUCAUGUUUUAUUAGUAUAAGAUUAUAUGCAAAUCUUAUAUUUUGCGUCCAUGCUAUGCGUGGAUAUUUGGUCGAUAAAAAUUAUAUUUAUCAAUAUAAAAAUUUUCUAUAUUAAUGUUUUAAUUAUAUAUUUAAAAUAUUAUAAUGUUAAUCUAAUAAUUUUUAUGUAAAUUAUAAGGUUUUAACGGUUUUUUUAAUCUAUAUAUAAUAUGUUAUAUUUCAAAAACGUAUUAUUUGGUCAAACACUUAUAAGUAAAAUUUUACAAAUUAAUCAAAUGCUAAUUUUAAAUAUAGUAUUGACAUGAUGAUAAAAUAUUAUACAUUCACUUUUUUAAAUCAUGAAGAUAUUUUUUUUUAUCAUUUUCACUUUUAUUUCAAUUAUAUAUGUGUUUUUUAAAAACAAUAAAAAUAAUUAUAUUUAAUUUUUUUUCCUUCUCUUGUAAUUAACUAAUAAAUAAAAUAUUUGCUUUUGAGGUUAAUAAUAACUAUAAACUUGAAAUCAAAACAGCAUAUGAAUAUAAAAUGAAUAAAAUCACUAAAAAUUUUUGAAUUAAAUAUAUUUUUGAUAAUUGGUUGUGUAAAAUUUUAAAUAAUUUUUUAAUUAUUAUUCCUCAUCUCUUCUAAUGAGAAUGAAAAAAAAUUUCAUCAUGUUCAUUUUUAUUUUUGUUAUAUCUGUUUUUUUAUGAAUAUGUCAUAUUUGUAUAUUUUAAUGAUUUGUGUAUGACUAUAUUCAGUUUCAUCAUAUUCAUUUUUACUUCUUUGAAUUAUAAUUAAGUAGGCAAAAUCGGUAUAAUUAAAUACAUUUAAUUUUUUAAAAAAAAAAAAAAUUGAACAACUCAAAACAAAGAGUUUCUACAUUAAUCUAUUGCAAUUCCAAGUCGAAUUUUUUUUAAAAAAAGAAAAUUUUGAUUAUUUUUCAGUAAUAUAUUACAUAAUAUUAUGUGAAUAUAUGUAUUGCAUAUGUUAAAACAUUUAUAUGAAUAUAAAUUAUAAUUAUUAGUUAUUUAAAAUUCAAUGUGAAAACCCUUAAAAUCAAGUAACUAAACUUGUAUAAGUAGCAUAUAUUUGUUUUGUAGAUGAUAAAUUAUAUUUGUAACUUAAACAGUGUUAAUGGAGAUUUUAAUAUCAUUUUGGUUUUUUGUGUUGUUAACAGAGAUUUCUUUAUUUUUUAAUUUAUUUUUUAACUAUAAUAUUAGAAUUAAGAGUUUUUUAAUUUACAUUUUUGUUAUAUACAAAUAAAAUUGAUAAUAGAAUAAUAUAACUUUAACUAUUAUUAAUAAUAGAAUAAUUUUAACUAACACUUUUACCUAAAUUGUUUUGUAUUAACAAUAUAAUUUUAUAAUUUAGAAUUUUUUUAAAACUUUAGUUAUUAAUGUAGACUAAUAAAAUUGACCUUUUAAAUCUUAUGUGUAUGUCCUUACAGGCAUAUAGCUUCAAAUUUUAUUUUUCUAUAAAUAUAUUUUUUUGUUAACAAUAUAAUUUUAAAAUUUAGAAAUUUUUUUAAAUUUAAAUAUUAAUAUGGACUAAUAAAAUUAAACUUUUAAAUCAUAUAUGGAUAUUCUUAGAGAAAUAUAGCUUUAAAUUUUAUUAAUAAUAGAUUUAGGAAUCAAACAUGGAGGAUGCCACACAAGGCUCGUUGCGGUAAUUGAUUUUGAUAUUUUCUCCUUGUUUUGAGGUUUACCGAAUGUAUUUGGAUGAUGUUUGGUCAGCUAAUUGUUACUUUUAUGGUUAAAAUUAGAUUUUUAAAAUCCUAUAAAAUGCCAUGUUAUUUUAAAAAAAAUUUUCGGAUAUCUUAGUCUCAUUCGUCUUAAUGACAAAACUUCUUUCUCUAUUUUCAGUGUUUUGUUUUUCAAAAGUAUCGAGUAUCAAUCACUUGACAUGUUUCUUGGAUUGGUUGGAAUUUAUCAUUCUUCUCAAAUUUGAUGGCUAAGCUUUAGAGAUUUUAUGAUCUUUUUUUCAAUAUUAAAGCGGCUUGUAGUGACUUUGUUUAUAUCUUCUUUCAUUAUAUUCUUUGUAAUUUAGCUAAUAGUUAAAAAUAUAAUUUAGUCAAGUUGAUUGUAUUUUUUUGUUUUUGUUAAUUUGAAAUAGUUGCACACAUAGAAAAAUUGGACGCUAAUGUAAGAGUCUCUAAAUAUGUAUGUAUAAAUCUAAUUUAAAUUUAUAUUUUCAUAGUUUAAUAUUAUUAUUUUAGUUUUUAUUAAUAUAAAUUUUAUAUAUGAUUUAUUUAUCUUUAAUAAUUUUUAAAAACAAUAAUAAAAUUUAGAAACAUUUAAAUUUUCAAUAUUGAGGUGGACCAAUAAAAAUUUUAUACAAAAAUUUCCUUAUCCAUCAAUAGUAUUAAAAUUUGUAAACUUUCCUAAUUUUCUUAUUCAGCAAUAAUUUUAUAACUUGUAAAUUUUCCUUAAUUUUGAAUGUUGAUGUGGACCAAUAAAAUUACUCUUUUAAAUCCUAUGUAAAAACCCUUAGAGCAUGGCAGUUUUACACAGGUUCUAAGGUGGGGUUUAUAAGUUUUUUGGAUUUUAAAAAAAUGAAAAAAGCCCAAUAUCUCGUGAACCGGUUCUUGUUUUAGAGUUUUUGGAGACUGUAUUUAGAAGGGUUCAUAAGUGACGUGUCUGCUUCUCAUUCGUUCAACAAGAAAUUUUUUUACGCUCUCUCUCCUCUUCCACUUUCUCUGGUUUUUCGUUUAUGUCGACAUUUAUUUCUCCUCUUCCAACCACGAUUUUUUCUCUGGUGAUUUCAGAUCAUGGGCUAAAAAAAUGAAAGCUUUGCAUGAACCCACUUGAAAAAGAGCUGGGAUUUUCAUUGGAAUCAAAGCAUCACUCUUUCCUCGAUCAUUGUUACAAAUCGAACAGACGGUAAUGCCGGAGGCUCAAUUCCGAGAUAAAUUUGAUCACGUCGAUUUCUUUCUGGUUUGUUACGUGUUUGAACUGCCAAACCAAUUCAUUCAUUAUAUAAAAUCAAAACCGAGAACAUCAUACUUGAGAUCACUGUUCUUCUUUUGCUUCAUAGUUUGUGAAGGAAAAUUAAACAAAAAAAAUUUUAGAUUUCAUCAAACCCAGUUUAAGAACCUCUAAUGAUGUUCACCAUUGGAGGAAUAAAAAACUUUGGAGUUCUAAACCAUUCUUUAAUCAAAAAUAAAUUAUUAAAAAAUAGCUAUGAACCCCAAGAGGAGGUUCACCAUUACUGGUGCUCUUAGAAACAUAUAGCUUCAACUUUUAUUAGUAUAAGAUGUUUUCUCAUUUUUUUAUUUUAAAAUAUAUCUACUGAUCUACAUAUUUGAUUUACUAAGGUUAUUUUCUUAUAACGUAUCUCGGACUUGGAAAAUAUCAUGAAUGUGAAUUCAAAACAUUGAUUUGACAAACUUUUUCUCUCUCGAAGCUCUUUCGCGUGCUUCCGUCUUGGUGGUCUUCUCCGGUUAUGGCGCUCAUCGCUGGACUGUGAGAAGGCCACCCCAAGGUUAGUUUUGUAAUUCGCGCCCAUCAUCGACGGAAGAGGUUCAUCGGCGGUGGAUUUGGAGGCGACCUAUUCUUCUCUGCAGUACUGUGGCAUGGAAAACCAGCGCGACGAGCGGCUGCGGAAGCUUGGUGGCCUUGACAAAGUGGUGUUGUGGAGUCUCAGUGAUUUGUCUCUGAUCAAGGGCGGCGGAGUGUUUCAUUGGAGAUCUUGCCGCAGUUCUAUCGAGGCUUAGAGAGGCAACUUGUUUUCGCUAGUUUGGUGGGUUGGGCCGUUUGUCGGGGACAGUUCUCCUGGUCGACGGUUGGAUCUACCUAAGGAUGGCGGUUCCUCUCGGUGGUGUUGUCAACUUGUCGGAGUCGGAUACUGUUCCUUACCGGAUUGAAGAUGGUGGUUCACGUGGUAAAAAAGAGGAGAUGUGCAUCGCGCGGCGGUGUUGGUUUCGAAGGAAGAGAAAAUCUGUGUGUCGGUUACUGGAUCUGGUGGUAGUCGACGAUUUGGCCGUGGGUUAUUCCAUGCUUUUGGUCAUGUCACUCCGGGAGUAGGAGUAUUCGGAAUCUUGCUGUGAACGGAUCUGGUUUCCGAAAUUGGACAACCUAGUUUCCAGUUCCUUAAAGGCGACGAUAGCUCUGCGCCGUUCUCGCAUACGCUGGAGGAAGAUAUGCAUGGGCUCGAGCUACUUUUCCCAAUCACAGAUUUAAUCUUAACCUAGUCCAUACGCUUUACCUUAGCCUAUUUCCAAGUCUUUUUUCAUUUUUUUGUUCAGGUUUACCACCGGCGGAGAUGUACUGUUCCGAUACCCUUUUAGGAAUUUUAUUAAUAAAAAUAUAUAUUUUUUUAAAAACAUUCAUUUUGACACGUUUCGACAUUUCAUAGUUUAUAAAACUGUCACAUACUCACAUGGUUUUUGUGAUAUGCUUACAACUAAUAAAUGUCUUUGGUACAAUUGUUUUUCAAUUUUUAGUUCUACCAAUUUUUAUUAUUUUUACGAUAAAAGUUAUCAUUUUAAAAAUAUGUUGAUUGUCACUAGUUCAGUGUUUUAUAUGGGAAAAUGGUCAAAAUUAAUCGAACUAAAUUUGAUGUGUCGAAAAAAAUCCGAACUAAAAUACGGUGCUAAUAACUAUCUAAACUCUAAAUAAUUCAAAUUUCCUAUCUGAAUUCUAAUAUAUGUGUCAAAAUCUAUCUUGACUAACUUUGACAUUAGUAACUGUUAAAAAAUGCUAACGAGGCAUGCUGACGUUGUCAUUUUAAUAAAACGAUAUUUUUUUUGUUGUAAAAAAAAUCAAAAACUUAUCCUCUUACCAGAACUUGACUUUUUAAUUUGUAGUUAAAUGUGUGGACCAGUUGAACCGUGAAACAAUAUUAAUACUUUUUACAAACAUAUUUAUAUAUUAUUGAUAUGCUGCAACAUUACAAUCAUGAGACCUAAAGAGAACAAGUAACAUCCCGUGGAUUAUCAAAGCCAUUACAAAAAGUAACCUGUUUGCUCUAUCGAGAUCUAAAGAGAACGAAUUCUCACCCAAAAUCGAUUUUCUCCUUUUGUUAAGCUUCUUCAAUCUCGUUUUUCUUCUACGGUUUUUUGGUUUUCUCUGCCAGAAUUGGUAGAGAGAGAAUGGAGAAGACGAAGUUGUUGCUGCUGCAAUUCUCCGAACUCAACAUCGAACACAGUUCCCGAUUAAUUGCAGCCUCUCAAUGCUCCAACAAUGGAAUUCGAUGAAGAAGAAGAACUCUCUAACCCUAAUUCGAUUUUGAGGGUGUAUUUUAUCCCCAAUUUAAUAUGUGGUCGUUUCGUUAAUUUUUUUUUUCGAGUUUAGACAUAUAUAUCAAUAACAUAUAAAUGUAUUUGUAAAGAAAAUCAAUAAUAUCUCACGGUUCAGUUGGUCAUUGCUUAAAUGGGGUUUACAAUGGCGCAGAUUGAAGUCCAAGGAAUAGAAAAAAUUUAGAUUUUUUUUAACAACGAAAACGACGUCGUUUUAGUAAGGUGACAACGUGUCAUGCCAAGUCAUAUUCUAUCAUGCCUCGUCAACGUUUUUUAACAGUUGAUUAACGUCAAAGUUAGUCAAAGUAGAUUUUAACACAUAUAUUGGAGUUCGAAUAGGAAAUUUGAAUUAAUUUGGAGUUCAGAUAGUUAUUAGCACCGUAUUUUAGUUUAGAUUUUUUUUAGCAAAUUUAGUUCGGGUUGGUUUUGGCCAUUUUCCCAUGUUUUAUAUAUAUAAGAUUUUAUUGGUUCAUGUGUUUCAAAUAAUAUCGAUCUCCAAUCAAAAUCUUGUUCAUUGGAUUAUCGAUGUAAGAAUUAUCGUCAAUAUCUUAUAUUAUUAGUUUAACAACUUAUAUGUACUUGUUGAAAUCUGGUGUCUUUAAUUCAACACAUCGACAACACCAAGAAAAACAAAAAAAUUGUAAUAUCUAAUGGAUCACUUUUUCCUCAUAAUUUUAUCUUUCUUGGUCUUCUCCAUCCUUUCUCUAAAACGUUUGAUCGGUAGAUGGCGGAACAAGUUUAACUUACCUCCAACUCCAGCUUGGUCACUGCCGGUGAUUGGUGAUUGGUGUAGAAAGUAAAUUUUGAGGAGAUAAAUAUUGCAAUAUAAGAAAACAAAUUGAGACAUAGAAAAACAUUUUAUAAAAGCGGAUUAAGGAAAAAUGAGAAAUGGAGGCGAGAUGAUCUCUUUCCUUAAUUCAAAAUAUCUCCCGCAGUGUGGCGGUUAGAUGAGAUAAUGAAUCCCAUGAUACAACCACUGAUAUUCGUAUAAUCGCAGCACCCGAUUAUUGAUAACACCGGAUUUUGACUAUUUUUAUGGAUCAUUUUAAUAUCUUUUACAGGUGUUUUUACUCCAUUUUCAAAGGUUUUCAAAGGAUUUCUAUAUUUUCGGAUUUUAAAAGACUUUUCAGGUAAUGUGGGAUAAAGAGGCACAAAAUAGAACAAAAAGACUCUUUUGGAUAAAUGCAGACCGUCAGAACUUUCAUGGAGAGACGAAGACCUUCUCACCGUCUGAUCACCCUCAAAAUUGGACAACUUAUAGAAGAAUCAACCAGCUUUCAAAUGCACUUAGUUUGGAGACAUUACAACGGUUGGAUCUCAAGAUAUUCCAUUAGCCCCGGAGCCACGCGGAGUCGGCCAGCAACUCACGCGACCGCGGCCAACAAGCUAUUUGCCGCGGUCAGAAGCUUCCCGAUCGCAGCCAACAAGCCAAUUGCCGCGGUCACAACACUCCCGACCGCGGCAUUCAACCUCCGACUUAAAGCCCACUUAUCUGAAGCCCAAAGUCAUUCCCAGCCUCAAUUCCGGAACCCUAGAGACCAUGGAGUAUUGGAGACUAUAAAUACAUGUCAUUUAGGUCGUUUUUAGAGAGAACCCUAGAUACUUUACAGAAACCCUUUUCUUUUAGCCGUUUUUAUGAGAUUUUUGUAGAAGAUUUUUCAAGUCCGAGUUCUUCAAUAGAGAAGCUUUCUUUAUCUCUUUUCUUUACUGUUUUUCAUUACUUUUAUUAAAACCAAUGAUGAUGUCGAACUCAGCCAUGUCUGAGUAGAUCCCGAGUUGGGCUUAGGGUUCCCGAAAGGGGCUCUCAUAAUCGAUUAAAAAAUUAGAGAUUGAUGUGUUUCUAGGGACAAAAGACGAUGACUUGAAAAAUCAACCCUGGUCUUUUCCCUUAUUGUCCCAUUAGAAAUCUCAGUUUUCUCUUCAAUCUUAUCUUCUUCCUCAGAAUCCUCUUCACAUCGACCACAGGUGUCUUCAUCCAUCGACUUAUUGAAAUUUCUUCUAGUAUAAGUUAAACCAAAAUGUGUGGAAACUGACUAUUCAACACAAAAGACUUUUCACUCUCUUCGUUCAACGUGAAUAACACUUCGUAGCAAAUGACUAGAUGGUGAGCCAAGCGAAGCUGAGUGGAAAUGGAGCACUGACUAUAUGUAUAUAAAGAGAUGGCAUGAAACCAAUUUAACCAUCACAAUUUCCAUUUGGUCGCUUCUUUUUCACUAUUGAUUUUCAAGAAAGUUAAAAAUUAGCUUAAAGAAAUAACGAAAGGCUCUUGAAACUCAAUGAGUACCAUUCAUAUUUCUCUUUCUUUUCUCCUCUUGUUCGUUUUUUAUUUUCAUGACGUGUUUGCGUCUCCUACUAGACACUUGUGUCGUCCAGAACAAAGGGAUGCACUUCUCGAGUUCAAGAAUGAGUUUGAGAUUCGGAAGCUUUCUUUUUUUCAGUGUUAUGUUAAUGGUAGCGUUGUUAUUGGAAUGGUAUCAAGUGCGAUGCCAAAUCUGGGGAAGUGAUCGAGCUAGACCUCAGUUGCAGCUGUCUCUACGGCAAGUUGCGUUCCAAUACCUCUGUUUAGGCUUCACAGCUUUUGUUUUCUCACCACUUUAUACCUUUCAUAUUAGGUCCCCAAAUCCCGUUCUCAAUUGGAAAUCUUUCUCUUCUCACUUCUCUCGACCUUUCUGAAUAUGGGUUUUCGGGUCAGAUUCCAUCUUCAAUUGGAAAUCUUUCACAGCUCACCUCGCUUGAACUUUCUUCCAAUCAGUUUUCGGGUCAGAUUCCAUCUUCAAUUGGAAAUCUUUCACAGAUCACCACUCUCCGUUUUUCCUUUAAUCAGUUUUCGGGUCAGAUUCCGUCUUCAAUUAAAAAGCUCUCUCAUCUCGAAACUCUUGACCUCAGUCAUAACAGACUCACUGGUGAAAUCCCAGAUUCUUUUGCCAGUUUGAAAAAUUUGACCGAGUUAAAUGUUAGUUUCAAUAAGCUUAGUGGUAAUUUUCCAAUUUCACUUCUAAAUUCGAUCAACUCACAGGAACGCUUCCUCCAAACAUUAGCUCACUCUCCAACUUGGAGUGGUUUUAUGCAUAUGACAACGAUAUAGUUGGAACCAUUCCUUCUUCUCUCUUCACCAUUCCUUCUUUGACACAAAUUGAUUUGUCAAAUAACCAACUGAACGGCAUUCAUGAGUUUGGGAAUAUACCUUCACCAACAAAGCUAGUGAGGUUAGAGCUUGGCGGUAACAACUUGAGAGGGCCAAUCCCGAGAUCCAUUUCCAAAUUAGUCAACCUCUAUUACCUUGACCUUUCCAAUUGGAACACCCAAUUAGGCCCAAUUGACUUGAGUAUCUUCUCGCAUCUCAAGUCACUCCGAUUUCUUGGCUUAUCCCAUUUGAACACCACCACUACGAUUGACUUGAAUGCCAUCUUAUCAUUUUUCCAGUCGCUUGGAUCAUUGGAUCUCUCAGGGAAUCAUGUUUCAGCCGAAAACAAGAGCUCAGUUUCAGAUCCUCCUUCGCAAAUGAUUAGUUCUUUAAACUUGUCAGGCUGCGGUAUUACCGAAUUUCCAGAGAUCAUAAGAACCCAACAGUCUAUGAGAUUUCUAGACAUUUCCAACAACAAAAUCAAAGGUCAAGUGCCUGGCUGGUUAUGGACGCUACCAGAUCUGGAGUACGUGGAUCUUUCCAACAACACUUUCGUCAGUUUCGAAAGACCAACGAAACAUGGACUAUCCUCUGCCUUUAUGUACUUGUUUGGCUCCAAAAACAAGUCUAAGGUCCCUUGACGUUGGUCAUAACCAACUGGUGGGAAAGCUUCCAAGAUCUUUGAUCCAUUUCUCUGCCCUUGAAGUUCUUAAUGUGGAAAGAAACAGAAUCAACGACACGUUUCCGUUCUGGUUGAGUUCUCUACAAAACCUGCAAGUUCUUGUCUUACGCUCCAAUGCAUUCCAUGGACCGAUUCAUCGAGCCUCCUUCCUUCAGCUCCUUCCUUCGCAUAAUCACUUCAACGGAACUUUGCCAUCGGACUAUUUUGUGAGCUGGAGUAAAAUGUCAUCACUUGGGACAGAGGAAGGUCGCUCAGAUCUAUACUACAUGGGAAAUGCAUAUUACGAAGAUUCAAUGGUCUUGAUGAAUAAAGGUGUACCAUUAGAGCUGGUACGUAUCCUUGAAAUCUACACAGCACUCGACUUCUCCGGAAACAGGCUUGAAGGAGAGAUUCCAAGCACCAUCGGCCUAUUGAAAGAGCUUCAUGUGCUCAACUUGUCAAACAAUGCUUUCACUGGCCACAUUCCAUCAUCUAUGGGUAACCUGACAGCUCUCGAGUCACUUGACGUUUCUCAAAACAAGCUUUCAGGAGUGAUCCCACAAGAGCUAGGGAAUCUCUCGUACCUUGAAGUCAUGAACUUCUCCCAUAACGCAGCCUUGCUCUUCCUUCGAAGACAACCCUGGACUUUUUGGCCCUUCUCUUGACGAAGUUUGCAAAGAUAUACACAAGACAUCAUCGCAAGAGAAUGAAACACCGGAGGAGGCAGAGGAAGAAGACGAAGAGGUGUUUAGUUGGAUUGCAGCUGCAAUAGGAUUUGGACCAGGCAUUGUAUUAGGACUGACGAUUGGAUACAUAUUGGCCUUCUACAAACCGAGGUGGUUCACGAGUCCUUUUGGCCGAAACAAACACAGAAGCAGAAGCACCACAGCUCAUUAAGAGAGGUAAUCUUCUGAAUUUCAUAGAUUAAAGACUAUGUAUAAUAUAACGAAAGUUUCUGGGUUAAUGUAUACUGUAUGUGAAAAUUAACUUUUUACGCCGUUUUUGUUUGUAUAGCGUUCUUAAACCCAAGAUGAAGAAUCUUUGAAAAACAGAAUGAAGCAACCAGACCAUAAGUAGAGAAGAAGCUUGGGGGAGAAGGCAACUCAUUUUAUCAAAGUCUAAAUAUCAGUGAUCGUUUCCGGUUUAGUUUGGUGUGUUUAUCAUAUACUCUGUUUUUAGCCAAUGUUUGUGUUUCUCUGUAAUUGAACAAUGAAAGAAUGUUUACAAAGCUCAAACUUAUUCCCAUUUCUCUGUGAUUGGACAUGAUUUGAGAGAGGUAAUAAUGUUCUUGCUCCGAAUAAAUCAAUCAUUCUUCUGCCAAAUGAAGAACUAAGAUUCAACACACAUCUCAGAAAAUUGAUCCUUUUUCUCUUUUGGUAAUAUUAAUUAGCUGAGUAAAAUGAUAACUUAAUUAGUUUAUUGAAAGAUAUUUCACUGAGAAAUAUAUUAGUUAGUGGCGAUCAGGAUCAGCGACCAAUUAAAGCUAUAGAUAUAGUUGCUUAAAACCCAAGCUUUGCCAUUACAAUGAGGAAAAAUCAUCUCACAAAUCAUUCCACUUUCCAACUAAUGAAACUCUACAAUAGUCAAAUGACUCAAAUCGGAAUUAGAAAGUAUACAUACACACAUAAUUUAAGGUCACAAUGACAAAAUCUUCGGUCUUACCAAUAAGAGUAUAAGUAUUCAUCAAAAGACAUCUUCUAAAAUGGAUUAUAUUAAAAAAAUUUGGUGAAAACAAACAAGAAAUUUUUACUGCUUAAUUCUUUUUGUUUUUAAAAACCAAAAGGUAAAUGGAAGUCGCUCUAAUUUUUACUUAUAAACCAAAACAAGAAAUUUUCAGUUAUAUCGUUCUAAGAUAAUGCAAUUGAUAGUAUAAUCUAUACUACUCUAUACUCCACUGAUACUUUUUCGUUUUUAAGCAGACAACUUUUCAGAGUACAAAUCUUUUGUUAUUUUUAUUCCUGGGAGAUGUAUAUCCUAUAAACAAAACUGUGUUAAAUGGAAGGACUUCAUGGACACCAAAACCAGAGGAGAAACGAAGACAGACGGUUUAGAAAUAUUUUGAUCACAUCAAAAAAAUAUAAUUCGAUAAUUUUUAUCAGAUUACAGCAUCACAAAGUCAGUGCAAAAUCAUAUAAAAAAAAUUCGAAUAAAGAAAAAACGUAUCAUGCCAAACGAAACCAAACAAAUAAAUAGAUAACAGUUGACUGACCGAGUCAGUCAUGGACAAAAACGAAGACUUGAAAAGUCAACUCCGGUCUUCUUCCUUAUUGUCCCACCAAUAAUUUACUUUUUUUCCUUCAAUCUCAUCUUCUUCCUCAAUCCUCUCAACAUCGAUCACAUAUUUCUUCAUCCAUUGACCUCAAAAACUUGAUUUUCACUAUUGACUCUCUUUCUUUCUCUCUCUCUCUAGAUUUUCCAACAAAGCUAUGGAGAAACUCUGUUUUCGAAACUCAUUUUCUCGCUUUAUGACGACUGUGGUCAUUGUUCUUCUUCCUCGUUGCACUCUUUCUGCUACUUCUACAUAUUCUCAUCGUCCCGAGAAGUUUUACGUCAACUGUGGGUCGGAUUCUAUUGUCACUUAUGGUGGUCGGACCUUCGUCGGAGAUAUGAUCUCCGGUGGUAACUCCGUUUCUUUCAACAGUAAAGGAACUGAAGCCAUCAACCAAUCAGGAUCAGGAAUCUAUGAAACGGUUAGGAUAUUCAGACGCCCUUCUUCUUACAAGUUCCAACUCGAUUCCAUUGGUCUGCACUUCGUGCGUCUCCAUUUCUCUGCUGUCUCUUCUCGGACAGAGCUUUUAACUGCUCGUUUCACAGUCUCAGCUACUUCUCACCUGAAAAGUUUCUCGCUUCAGAAUUUCAAUGAGACCCCACGAGUUGAGGAGUUUCUCCUGAUGAUUGACUCGCCAGAAUUCGAAAUUCGAUUUGUGCCCUAUCAUUCAUCCAUGGCUUUUGUCAACGCCAUCGAAGUGUUCUCUGCUCCUAAUGACCUCGAAAUUCCGUCAGACUCCGACAAGAAUCUGCAUACGGUUUACAGAUUAAACGUAGGAGGCAAGAAUAUCACACCAGAAAACGACACCUUGGGAAGAACUUGGUCAGUUGACGAGGACUUCCUCUACGAAAAAGAUUCUGCGAGGAACAUUAAUUCAACACAAAAGCCUAACUACGAGUCAGGGACAGCGACGCCAUUCACUGCUCCUGAUUUUGUCUAUCAGACAGCGAAAACGAUGAACCAUAGCUCGAAUGAGGGGAUGGCAGAUGGGAUGUUGAUGAACGUUACUUGGUCAUUUAAGGUCAAUAGCAACUCUAGACACUUCAUCAGGGUUCACUUCUGUGAUAUCAAGAGUGAAUCACAAAAUCCCGACUCCGAUUUCUAUCUCUAUGUAAACGGACAAUCACGACUAGAUGUAAAGCCUUCAGAGCGUAUUAGGUUGGUGACUCCGUUUUUCAAAGAUGUGAAUGUCUCUGAUGGUUUUGGACUCUUGAAUGUUACAAUAGGUACUAAGGAUUCCACUAAGGAUGCUGGUUUUCUGAAUGGUCUGGAGGUGAUGGAGUUUUUGAAAAAGUCAGAUUCUUCAGAUAAAAGUAGUUUCCGGGUUUACAUCAUCGCUGGCUGUGUUGUUGCUGCAUCGGUUCUGGUAUUGAGUUUGUUGUUCACAGUUUUCUUGAAGCGGAGGAGAUCGAAGAAGGAGAAUAAGUCAGACGCUGAGGUCACUGAAUGGUCUCCUUUGCCAUUGUACAGAGGUGGUGGGAGUUCCGACAAUAGACCUUCUGAUCCGGUCAACAAUUCUCCAUUACGCAGCAAUAGAACUUUUGAUCCGGUCCAUAAUUCGCCAUUACGCAACCUAAACUUAGGCUUGACCAUUCCCUUCAUAGACAUUAUGAGAGCUACAAACAAUUUCGAUGAGCAGUGGUUGAUCGGGAGAGGCGGUUUUGGAGACGUUUACAAAGCCAUUCUUCAAGAUGGAAGCAAAGCGGCUAUCAAGAGAGGCAAGAGUGGUUCAGGACAAGGACUAUUGGAGUUUCAAACAGAGAUUCAAGUCCUGUCGAGAAUCCGGCACAGGCACCUCGUUUCUCUAACGGGUUACUGCGAAGAGAACUCGGAGAUGAUCCUUGUCUACGAGUUUAUGGAGAAAGGUACGCUUAAAGAGCAUCUAUACGGCUCGGAUUUGCCUUCACUGACAUGGAAACAGAGACUAGAGAUUUGCAUCGGAGCAGCUAGAGGUUUGCAUUAUCUCCACAGUGGCUCAGAAGGAGCAAUCAUUCACAGAGAUGUCAAAUCCACAAACAUACUACUAGACGAGAACACCGUAGCCAAAGUCGCGGAUUUCGGGCUCUCAAACUCGCGGUUCGUAAUCAAGAUCCAAUCAAUAUCAGCACUAACAUCAAAGGAACAUUCGGUUACCUCGAUCCUGAGUAUCUGCAGACACACAUCUUGACGGAGAAAUCAGAUGUUUACGCUUUCGGAGUCGUUCUCCUCGAGGUCCUGUGCGCGAGAUCGGCUCUCGAUCCUUCUCUUCCUCACGAGGAAGUGAAUCUAGCGGAGUGGGCGAUGUUCUGCAAAUCCAAAGGGAUAAUCGAUGAGAUCUUAGAUCCGAAAUUGAUAGGUCAGAUCGAGCCGAGUUCGUUGAGGAAAUACAUGGAAAUCGCGGAGAAGUGUUUGAAAGAGUACGGCGACGAGAGGCCGAGCAUGGGGGAUGUGAUCUGGGAUCUGGAGUAUGUUCUUCAGCUUCAGAUGAUGCCGAUUCGCAGAGAGCCUCACGAGGAUAGCGCCGCGACGAUCUCCGGCGGCGGAGGCGAAAGCUCGUUGGUGAUUCCGAGGUUGAUGGUGAGUGAUUCGUUUAGCUCAAACUCGAUUGUUCAGAAGAACGAAGGGAAGAGUAGCUAUGGAGGUACAGAUUCAUCGGAGAGUCGAGUUUUCUCCCAAUUGAAGAUCUCCGAAGCAAGAUAAAAUUUCCUAUGAAACAUUCUGAUUUGAAAAGCGUCUGGUUUAAAGCUUUUGAUAUUAAAAACCGGUUAUUGCCGGUUUAAAUAUAAUCAUUUUAAAACAUAUGCAAAGUAACGAGUCAAUUGAAUGUAAUAUAAAAUUAAAACCCGGUUAUCGUCGGUUUAAAGUUAAUUAUUCUAAGACAAAUGCUAAUUUCCGAAUCGAAAAACAAUUCAAUUUAAUUAACCGAUAAAAACCUAAUUUCAAGAAAAGUUCUGAUUUGAUAAGUGAUUGGUUUAAUUUUUGAAAUUGAAACCCGGUUCCUGCCGGUAUAACGACUCAGCUGUUUGUGAUGUCGGCGAUGAACGAGUCCAGAUUCCGAGCCGAUGAUCCACCAGACGCCAACGCCGAUCUCGCCGCGUGCUUCAGCUCCGUCACUCUCCUCCUCAUAUCCGCGGCGGCAGAUCCUUCCCUCACGGCCUCAAUACAUCUCUCCACCUCUUCAACCUUAAGCUCUCCGUCGACAGCGUCGUUCCUCAUCCUCACUCCGAUCCCGAACACAUCCACAAGCAAUCUCGCGUCAAGCGGCUGAUCAAUCCAGCUCGGGUACGCCACCACCGGAACACCAGUCACCACCGUCUCCAUCGUCGAGUUCCAUCCACAGUGCGUGACGAAACAAGAGAUCGCCACGUGACUCAGUAUCCACUCUUGUGGACCCCACUCAAUCACAAUACCUUGACCUUCUCUAACCAUCUCCUGCAAAACGUCGACGUUUUCGCCUUUCUCCUUUGGCCUAAUCACCCAGAGAAACGAAACUCCUCUGUUUCUCAGAGCCGUUGCUAUGCUCUUAACUUGAGUCUCCGAAGAUUUCAGCAAACUUCCAAAAGAAAUGUAAACAACCGAAGACCUAGCUUGCUUGUCAAGCCACUCCAUACAAUACUCAUCCGAUUUCCACAUAUCAAGAUUUUUACCAUCUAGGGUUUUGUCUUCUUCAUCAGCUCCCAACAGAAAUGGAGAAACCAGAGGACCAAUUGGGAUCAUGGGUUUUAAACCAGACAUCGAUUCGAUUAUCUCUGAUUCGAGCUCGUAGAACGAAUUAACCAAAACCCAUUUCACAUCUUUCAAGCAAUCGACGAACUCCACCAUUAGGCUAUUGAAAUGACUUCCUGAAGAAGGCAAGAGAAACGAAGGGAGAUCUCCAACUUCCAACAAUGGUAAACCUGGCAAUUCAACCGUUUGAUUCAAAUCUUCGAGAUUCUCAGGGAAAGCAUUCGUCUUCAUGUAGUAACGGUAAUAAACCGAGAAAGCUCCACAAGCUUCGAUCCAGAGGAUUGCACAGGGGAUGUUAUAUGCAGCUGCAACACUUGGAACCCAUGGAGCAAAAGGCACAGUGACGAUGCAAGAGAAUCUCUUUGAUUCGACGAUUUUAGACAAGUUCUUGGCUCCGACUUUUUUCAACGAUGGUAUGAGAGAAUCUGCGGCUCUUGUGUGGUCUUUAGGCAGACCGUCGGGGAAGAAAGCAAGGUCCACUGGGCUACGGUGAUGUUCUUCGGCGGCGGUGGUGGUGGAGAGGAGGUCACGGGUUUUCUCGGUGGUAGCGAGAGUGAAGCUAAGGUUUGGUCGUGAGAGAUGUUUGGCGAAUUUGAGCAUUGGAUUAAGAUGACCUUGAAAUGGUAGUGCUACCAAUAGAACAUGUGUUUCUUGACCCUCACUAUUUCUCAUUUCUGCUUUGUUUAGAGGUGUUACUUAUUAGACUUGAGUUGUGUAUGAGAUUGUGUGUAACUUGUAAUUGUGGUGGUAUAUAUAACAAUGGUUGCUUAACGAUAGAUUUUUGCUUAAAAUGAAGUUAUUAAGUGAGAUUUUGGUAAGAAAAAUCUAUAUAUAGUAAAAAUUGGUAACCCAAUAAAAUGUAAUAGAUUCAAAAGUUACCACGUUUAUUAGCACCCUGCGCCUUGUCCUUAACUCAAUUCAAAUCUUGUAUAAUUGUUGACCAAAAAAACACGAUAUAUAUACCAAUUCUAGUAUGGUUAAAGUCAACAGUCAUUACUAAUGAUUUAUGAAUCUUUUUGUAUAGUGUGACACUGAGAUCAUUGUAAUUUGUUAAUGACAAUCUAUAAACUGUAAUUGGUAAUCCAAUAAACGUUGGUCAAUAAAUUCAAAUUUAAUCAUGUGUUUCUAUGCUCUUGUAAAUAAAUAAAUAUAUGUUAUUUUCAAUUGUGUUAUGGUUAUGAUUAGAUUUAUAUAAAAAAUAUGGUUAUGAUUAGAUUUAUAUAAAAAAAAACAGGUCUCAAUUCAUUCGGAUCAGUCUCGUUUGUAUCUGUCUCACUUUUAGAUUUGAAAUCCGUUAAGCUCUAUUUAGUUUUUGGAACUAACAGAGUAAUCGGUUUAUACAUGCCAAAAUUCUUUUAAUCUAUUUAAAACCAUUUACGAUAUGAUGCUUAAACAUUCUUAAUAUUUAUUUUAAAUUAUAUAAACUAAGCUUUUGGAAGCUAAUCAGAAGCUAACACACCAGUAUAAUUACCAUUGUUUUUUUAUUAAAUAAUAAUUACCAAUGUUUCAAGGCAUGCUUGAAUAUUCCACUAAGAAAAAUCAUCGAAAUUGUUUAUACUAAUCUAAAAUCCUAGCAAAGGUGGGUGAAUCUUUUUUUUUAAAUAGUUAUACAUAUUUUCGAGAUGACAAAAUUUAACAAUAUGAUAAAAUCAUAUGAACACUCGAACAUUUAUGUAGAUUUUAGUUAUGUUAUAUAUCCAAGAAGAAAUGAAUAAUAUUAAGUAACAUCUAUUACAAAUAACAUAUCAAUUGGUAACAUCAGAUGGCAAAUCAAAUAACAUCAUUACGUAGUAAAUUCAUGUGCAUGCGUUACUAGCUAAGCUUGUAUUCACUUUAUAAAAGAAAAUACAAAAUAGCAAUAGCAAUAAUGAAGGGAAGAGCAGCUACGGAGGUACAGAUUCAUUGAUCGAAGAGUCGAGUUUUCUCCCAAUUGAAGAUCUCUGAAGCAAGAAAACAAAUAAUCUCUUGAAUCCUUCUGAUUUAAAUACCGACUGGUUUUAACUUUUGAUAAUAAAAUCCGGUUAUUGCCGGUUUAAAUAUAAACAUUUUUUUAAGUCGACAAAAAAAAACAUUUCAAAACAGAUGUAAAGUGAGUCAACACUAUGAUCGAUGACUUUCUAGUUGAUGAGAAACGUGCACAAAAAGAAAAGGGUAACACUAUGAUCGAUCACUUGCUUUCUCUCCAAGAAACUCAACCAGAUUAUUAUACGGAUGUCAUCGUCAAAGGACUCAUAGUUGUAAGUAUUGAGGAAUACAUUUAAUACAUCACUAACAACUAACAAGGCUAACUAAGCUUUUUAUAAUGACUAAUUCUUGACUUCUAUUUGGAUAGGUUAUGAUAUUUGCCGGAAAUGUAACAAGAACGUUAGAAUGGGCGAUGCUAAAUCUGUUGAACCAUCCAGAAGUACUAAAGAAAGCGAGGAUUGAAAUCGAUACAAACAUUGGUUUGGACAGGUUAAUAGAUGAACAGGAUGCGAAAAGUCUUCCUUACCUCCAAUGCAUCAUAUCAGAGAUUUUUCGACUUUACCCGGCAGCUCCUUUACUUGCUCCUCAUAGGGCUACAGAUGAUUGUAUAGUUGGAGGCUACGACUUCCCUCUUGGCACGACAUUAAUCGUGAACGUAUGGGCCGGCCAUUCACCGAGACCCAAACAUAUGGUAAGAGCCAGAAAAGUUCAAGUUAGAGCGGUUCGAGAAGAAAGGAGAAGAACAAAAGUUGAUGCCGUUUGGAAUGGGACGACGAGCUUGUCCCGGGUCUGGUCUAGCUCAACGGGUCGUGAGUUUGGCUCUCGGAUCGAUGAUUCAAUGUUUUGAAUGGGAGAGACUUGGAGAAGAAUAUGUUGACCUAAGCGAAGCAACCACAAUGCGUCCAACGACGCCGUUGCUAGCCAUGUGUAGAGCUUGUCCUAUUGUUCAUAAGAUUUUCAAUACUUCUUUUUGAGAUGUCACUCCCUUUUUAAAAAAUAUGUAUAUCCAUUUAUGUUAUAUCCAUUUUGAGAUGUAAUUAAAAUGAAAGACAAAGACUAGUCUUUGAUUUGCCUUAAGAUUUUCCAUUUUAUUAAAAUUCAAAAACUAUUUUUUUUUUUCAAAAACCAAAAUUUAGAAGUUAAAUGCUACUCCAUUAUCAAAUAAACUCACUUCUAAAUUUCUAUGAAUGAGGAGUAGUUUUUUACUUUGAGAAAGUGUGAAGAAAUUUUUCCAAUUUCUUAGUUUUUGUUUGUUUUUUUUUGAGAAAGGGUUAAGAAAAGGGAGCUUGUUUUAUAAUGGAAUCUCUCAUGCAAUUAUUCCCACCUGUCACUAGAGAUAUGUUCGUAACUUCGUAACGUCUCAUGCAAUUACUGACUAAUAAACAUGUGUGAUAAGUCACCAUUAAUAUUUAUUGUCUAUUUCUUUUGCUUUUAAUUAUUAGGGUUUUGAGUAGAAAUUUGUUUCUUUCUAAUAUUAUAGACAAUAUAUAUUGCUAGCGUUUACGUUUUUUAUUUUGGUUCAAAACAUAGUGGUUAAAAAUAAACAAAUCAUAAAUUUUUAUUAUUAGUCAUUAAUGAAUGAGAGACGUUACGAACAUAUCUUUAGUUUAUUAAAAAAAAAAAAAGAUAUCUUUAGUGACAGGUGUGAUAAUUGCAUGAGAGUUUUCAUUAUAAACUAAGCUACAUAAACUAAUAACUCCCACGUUCGAUUCAACACAUUUACAACAAGAAGAAGUUCUUGAUCUAAAAUGGAAACUUAUUUUCUUAUUUUAUCCCUCGCCAUCUUCUUUUUCAUUUCUCUUAAACUUUUGUUUAAUAAACCGCAUAACAAGUUUAACCUACCACCAAGUCCGGCGAGGCCACUACCGUUGAUUGGACACCUUCACCUCCUGAAGCAGCCUCUCCACCGCACAUUCCUAUCUUUCUCUCAAUCCCUCGGCAGUGCCCCAAUUUUCUCCCUCCGUCUUGGAAACCGUCUCGCGGUUGUCGUCUCCUCCUACUCCAUCGCAGAAGAAUGCUUCACGAAAAACGACAUCGUUUUGGCUAACCGACCAGAGUCCAUAGUCGGGAAAUACAUUGAGUACAACUUCACCACUGUGACCAGCGCGCCUUAUGGUGACCACUGGCGAAACUUGCGGCGUCUCAGCACCCUCGAGAUCUUCUCCUCGCACAAGCUCAAUGGCUUUAUAUCCGUCCGUAAGGACGAGAUCCGACACUUGCUACUUCGUCUCUCCAAAAACUCGCAACAUGUAUGUGAGCUUCUACAUAUUAGUACUCUAUGACUAUAUACAUUAUCAGAGUUUGUAACCUAGUAGUUUGUCUUAGUGUGGCCUCUAGGUCAUAACCUAUAUAUAUACAUUACUUGAAGAUCUGCUCAGAGUUUGUAACCUAGUAGUGUGGCCACUAAAUUAAAAGUCAUAACUUGAGUACCAUGCAACAAAAGUUUGAGAAUUAAUCAUUUGUUUAUUUGAUAAUAAAUUAGGGGUUUGCCAAGGUGGAGAUGAGAUCAUUGUUUAUGGAUUUGACUAUCAAUAACAUUCUCAGAAUGAUGGCUGGGAAAAGAUUUUAUGGUGAUGGAACAGAGCAAGACGACAAUGCACGGCGAGUGAGACAGCUUAUUGACGAGGUGGUAUCCUACGCCGGCGCCGGGAAUGCUACCGAUUAUAUCCCAAUCUUGCGUUGGAUCACAAGUUUUGAGAAACGGGUCAAGAACUUAGCGGGUCGGGUCGAUGAGUUCUUGCAGAGCCUGGUGGAUGAAAAACGUGCGGAUAAAGAAAAGGGCGACACUAUGAUGGAUCACUUGCUUUCUCUCCAAGAAAUCCAGCCUAAUUAUUACACAGAUAUCACUCUAAAGGGGAUUAUAGUUGUAAGUAUUUAUUUUCUACAUUUAUUAAUCUUGAAUAAUCUAUUUAAUAUAUAACAACACAAACUAAACAUUUGUUAAUUUAAUUUUUACAGGUUAUGAUACUUGCCGGAACUGAAACACUAACAGGAACAUUAGAAUGGGCUAUGUUGAAUUUGUUGAAUCAUCCAGAGGUAUUAACGAAAGUAAGAACCGAAAUCGAUACCAAAAUCGGUUUUGACCGGUUAAUAGAUGAACAAGAUAUUAAAAAGCUCCCUUAUCUCGAAGGGAUUGUGUUGGAGACCUUACGUCUCCACCCUGUAGCUCCUACACUUGUUCCACAUAUGACGUCAGAUGAUUGCAUGUUGGCCGGAUACGAUGUUCCAAGUGGAUCCAUGCUAUUGGUGAACGUAUGGGCCAUGCAUAGAGACCCGUCUCUAUGGGAAGAUCCAGAAAUGUUCAAGCCAGAGAGGUUCGAAAAUGAAAAUGAAAAUCAAAAGGUGUUGUCGUUUGGGAUUGGACGACGAUCAUGUCCCGGGGUUGGAUUAACUCAUCGGCUAGUGAGCUUGGCUCUUGGAUCGAUGGUUCAAUGUUUCGAAUGGGAGAGAAUUGGAGAAGAAUAUAUUGACACUAGAGAGGCACCUAUGAUGCGUCCAACUACCCCGUUGCAAGCCAUGUGUAAAACUUGUCCCAUUGUCCAUAAGAUUCUCGAUGCUUAUGCUUGAAUUGUAACUCUUCUUGGUUUGAUUUAUGUUCGGAAAUACUACAUCAACUUGUUUUGAGUUGGGAAAUAAUUCAAAAUCCUUCUAAGAACGCUCUCAUGCAAACUGUUGAAUGUAUCUUCAAGGUUCUGAUCACCAUCUAGCUGAGUCUUUACGGAAAAUUAGAUCGUCACUAAAUAUUAUCAUUUUACCUUCGAAUAUAUUGAUUUUGUUGCCCUGAUGAUACACUUGAAAUAAAUAAAAAACAACCAUAGAGACACUCAAAUAAAAAAAAAGCUCAUAGCUUUAAAAUUUCUUGUAUAUUUUGAAACUAAAAUUAAGCUAUAUUACUUAUACUGAUAUUCCAUUUCUUCACAGUAUGAUCUAAUGAUUUUUGCAAUCCUCUAUGCUUUUGUUGUUGCAAUUAUACUUAUAUCUCCAUUUCAUUACAGUAUGAUAUAUAUAUAUAUAUAUAUAUUGUAAGUUUUGCAAUCCUCUACAUAUCAUUCUUCCCACAGCUCUAUCUGAAAAUUCCAUAUAUAUGUUCAACUUAUCUCUCUUCGUGUGUUGUGAAUUGUGUAUUAGAUUUGAGUAUUACAUUUGUACUUUUACAAUUCUUUUUUUUUUUUAUAAUCUUGAAGUGCUCUAGGAAUUAUAAUUAUUAUAUCAUGUUGGAUUUUUAAGAAUUUUGGUUUUUAUGAUAUUUUGUAAAAAAUUAGAGAGUGAUGUGUUUCUAGGGACAAAAGACGAAGACUUGAAAAAUCAACCCUCGUCUUUUUCCUCAUCGUCCCAUUAGAAAUCUCAGUUUUCUCUUCAAUCUUAUCUUCUUCCUCAGAAUCCUCUUCACAUCGACCACAGGUUUCUUCAUCCAUCGACUUAUUGAAAUUUCUUGUAGUAUAAGUUAAACCAAAAUGUGUGGAAACUAUUCAACACAAAAGACUUUUCACUCUCUUCUUUCAACGUGAAUAACACUUCGUACGAAGGACUAAAUGGUGAGCCAAGCGAAGCUGAGUGGAUAUGGAGCACUGACUAUAUGUAUUUAAAGAGAUGGCAUGAAAACAAUUUAACCAUCACAAUUUCCAUUUGCUCGCUUCUUUUUCACUAUUGAUUUUCAAGAAAGUUAAAAAUUAGCUUAAAGAAAAAACGAAAGGCUCUUGAAACUCAAUGAGUACCAUUCAUAUUUCUCUUUCUUUUCUCCUCUUGUUCGUUUUUAGUUUUCAUGACGUGUUUGCUGCUCCUACUAGACACUUGUGUCGUCCGGAGCAAAGGGAUGCACUUCUCGAGUUCAAGAAUGAGUUUGAGAUUCGGAAGCCUUCUUUUGAGUGUUAUGUUAAUGGUAGCUAUGUGCGCCCUUACCCGAAGACGGAGUCAUGGGCAAAUAACACUGAUUGUUGUUAUUGGGAUGGGAUCAAGUGCGAUGCCAAAUCUGGGGAAGUGAUCGAGCUAGACCUCAGUUGCAGCUGUCUCUACGGCAAGUUUCGUUCCAAUACCAGUCUGUUUAGGCUUCACAGCUUUCGUUUUCUCACCACUUUAUACGUUUCAUAUAAUGAGUUACAUGGUCAAAUCCCGUUCUCAAUUGGAAAUCUUUCUCUUCUUACUUCUCUCGACCUUUCUUCCAAUGGGUUUUCGGGUCAGAUUCCAUCUUCAAUUGGAAAUCUAUCACUGCUUACCUUUCUGAGACUUUCUGAUAAUCAGUUUUCGGGUCAGAUUCCAUCUUCAAUUGGAAAUCUUUCACAGAUUACCACUCUCCGUUUUUCCUUUAAUCAGUUUUCGGGUCAGAUUCCGUCUUCAAUUGGAAAUCUUUCAC
rnacentral:lncRNA from 1 species